UUGUUUUUCGGUUCGCCGUCCCGUCGCGAUCCCGGUUGCGACAAUGGGUUCCACGGAGGAACGCCUUCAGUAUGGUUUCAAGUAUUGAUAGUAUGAAUGGCCGGAGUUAGUCGGGGGUUUAUCCUGACAUUCUAAUGAUCAUCCAUGCUCAAGUAAAGAAUGAUGAGUCAUGUGGUGAGGAUAGCAGGAGGUCCUAGUCUAGGGGCUUUACUUUGGCCUAAGGCAAGUGAUAACGGACUAACCUAGUGUGGUAGCUUGGGGUGGUCCAGCUGUUCCACCAUAUCGGUGCAAGAACCUUUGUAACUCAACAUUCCAUACAAUAUCUGGAUAGUCAGUCUAGGUCUUUGCAUGUUAAGAUGUUUGGGUUGAUGUAUGUGAUAUAAAUGAUUUAUGUAUGUUAUAUUAUAAAGGUGAUACGAUUUGUCUUAUGUCUAGCUUAUCCUUGCUUCUGUGUUUGUCUGUUUGUGUUGUUUUUGCUUUUACAAUGAUUACCUUAACCGAUAUGAGCUUAAGGAGGACAUCUUUUAGGGAGUCCAUCGUUUUGUUGAGAAAGAAGUAACCAGAUGGAGAGUUUUACUCUUCAAGGAUAGAAUCUUCUCCUUUAGUAUUUUGUAGUUUUCUAAUAAAUUAUCAUCCAUAUAAUAUUUUAUUUUGGUAGUUUUAUUCUACUAAAACGAGACGUUACAUACAACAAUUUAAAUACUAUCAAAAUAUAAAAGUACAUUUGAUAUUAGAUUUUUAUUUAGUCUUUAUAUAUAUUUUUUUCUCGUUAAUUAUAACAUUGUAAGUUGCUUUUUAAGAAUUUGACAAGCAUAUCAAAAUUAGAAAUAGUAAAAUAACUUUUUAAGCUCCAGUAUAUCAAAUUCUAACGGACUAGUACAGUACUUAAGUAAAAAAAAAAACAAAAGGACUUCUGUAUUAAUUUAAAAUUAGGAAAAAUAUCUGUAUUUUAUUGCAAAUGAAUUAAAAUAAUUAUUAUAAUAAUGAGACAAAAUAAAUAAUAAAAUAAUAAAAGAUAAAGAGAAAACUUAAACAAUAAAAAGAGAAAUAAUAAAUAAUAGAAGAUAAGAAAAUAAAAUAAAUAUUAAAAUGAAAUAAAUGAUAAAAUAUAAAGAGAAAAUAUAACUACUAAAAGAUAAAUAUAAAACAUUAUGAAAGUUCUUGGUCAAUUUAAUAUAGUGAAGAUUUAUAAUUAUGGACGAGAAAUUCAACUUGACAUAAAUCAAUUCAAUAAUUUAUUCUAUUUAUAUUCACAUUAUUUUAUCUUAAAUUCAGAACCUAAAUCACUUUCAGCUCCACACAAUUACAAUCAAACAAUAAGUUUAAAUAGAUCAAAAGUCCAAGAUGUUUAAACAAAAUUGACUAGUCAUCUUAGAGAUAUUCAAUCUGACUUAUAGUUAAAUUCAAAAUGAUUUAGUUUAAUAGAAUUUUCUUUUUGUAAGUUAAAUUUUUUUGAAAGUAACUUAAUUCAUCAGGUUUGUGAGUUAAGUAUGUUGUUAAUUGUUUUUUCAAUUUAUUUUAUAUAUUUAUUGUAGGAUAAAAUGGAUUAAUUUGAUUAAUUUUUCAUAAUAUUAUAAUCAACAUGUUCACAUUUCAUUAAAGUGAUGAUAGUUAAAAAUUAAAACGUAAACUUAGAUAAAUAAAUAAAUAAAACAUUUAAAUUAUUCAAGUCUUAUUGAACAAACAUUUUAAUAUUUAAAAAAUCAAAUUAUCAAUCAACAUAAUUAAAACUAAUAAAUAACUAUAACAAAAAAUUAUGAAAAAUAAUAAAGAAUAAUUAUUGAUGGUUUAUGGAUCAAUUCACAUAAUAAAAAAUAAUAGAGUGUAUUAACUCACAUAUUUUUAUCCAUUUUAAUAUGUUUAGAAUUUACUUAUUCUUAAAAUUAAUAUUACUAUUAUUUCAAUGUUUUAGGUGUAUUUUUCCAUUUCUUCAAUCAACUAUGAAUCUCAUAGUAGUUGUUAGGAAUAAAAAGGACGUGAACUUUAGCUACUCAACUAACAUAGAUAAUGUAUUGUGUAACUGAAGACUCCUCGUAUUAAUUAAAGUUUUUAAAUAAGUUACCUAAAAUGAUAACAAGCUAUCAUUUAUUGGGUACUAAAUACUUAAUAAUUUGUAACUAGUACAAUUAAUAGGAUGACCACUAGAUAAUGAGGAUUAUAUAGUUCAACAAGUAACAAUGUGUACAGUACCCAAUACCGAGUAUUAUUUAUCAUAAAUCAAAGCCUACAUUCAUCACUUUAGAAAGAUGUUUUUCUCUAUCAAGAUACCUCAUUGUGCUUGUGGAAAACAUUCUUACAUUCUUACAUUAUAUAACGUAGCUAAAAACAAAUACAAUUUCUCACAUAUAGCUAUUGGGCCUUGAUCAAUGAAUCUAUAAAUGUGUCUCAUUCAAUGAGAGUUCAUUGUGUAAACAAUUUUAUACCUCAAAGUCUACAUUUACAAAUAUUUAUUUAUAAUCCAAUGAUGAGAUUGGGCUUCAUAAGUCUAUCAGCACUGCUUACCCACUUGGGCAAAUCCGGACCAAUGCGCAAAUAGAUGCCUAACAUCUGGAAAGGUGUUACUUCCUUCACCACCACUUUCUCAACUUUUUUCAAAAAAAUUUUAAUUACAAAAAUAAUCUUUUUUUACCAAUUUUUUACUUGGUUUAAUACCUAUUUUGGUCUCUUCUUUGGGAGGGUUUGUUCAAAGUGGUCCCUCUUUUUUUCAAAAGUUCACUUAAGUCCUAGCUUUCGCAAAAACUGUUCAAAGUGGUCCUUUUUAGUAACGGCGUUAAGUUCACUAACGGCAGACCUGUCAGGUGUUUAAUAUGUGCUGAUGUGGCAUUGUUAUGUAUUUUUAAAAAAAAAAUAUUGUGACGUGUAAAUGUAUGUUGUUAGGGUUAAAUUAAAAAAUGAAUUAGGGUUAUAUUACAAAAUGAAUUAGGGAUUUGGGUUAAUUAAGUAAACAGAUUGUUGGUCAGAUGCAAAUUUUACCCAAAUUUGCGAUUGCAAUUGGGAUUUUCUGAAUUUGACAUCAGGGUUCAUCAACCUUCAAUCAUCGAUCUCUUACAUACAUCAAGCAACCAAAAACGCUUGAACCCUCAUGGCAUUUCUCCAACAAUCAUGUUUGAUGGCUUGGUUAUAGGUUUUAGGUUCACUAACUUGGGAAAGAUUCAAGACAUAUGAUUUAUGAAGAGAUGAUAAUGCAUCAUAUGAGAGAUAUGAAGAGAUAGGAUAUAAGGUACCUGUGGAUGACUGAGUGGCGGAAGAAGUAGAUAACAUGUUGCAAUGAUAGUCCUGCAAAUAAGAUGGUUUAUGUGUUGGCCUGGUUUAUUUCCUUUGUGGAGUAGCAGUGGCAGGUUCCACAGAAACAGGUUGAAAAGAAAAACUAGCAGGGUCUGGAACAAUAGAAGGAGGAGAUGUAGGUGGUAAAGAGGGUUGAUCAAUAGAGGGUUUUAAUGUGUUCUAUGGUGCAUCCUUAAUCAGCUGGAAAUCGAAGAAGCAAGAUACUAUAUCUAGAUCAUCAACUGAAGCGGAAUAUAGAGCCUUAGCUUCCACAACAUGUGAAAUUCAAUGGCUUUUGUAUUUGCUCCAUGAUUUGAAACAACCUCUGCCACAACCAGUUCCUCUGUUUUGUGACAAUCAAUCUGCUAUACGAAUUGCACAAAAUCCAGCCAUGCAUGAGAGGACAAAGCACAUUGAAAUUGAUUGUCAUCUCAUAAGGGAUAAAGUUCAAGCUGGUGUAAUUAAGCUCCUGCCUAUUUCUACUUCAUCACAACUUGUAGAUAUUCAUACUAAAGCUUUGCAUCCAGCACAAUUUCAAUCUUUGUUGUCCAAGCUGAGCAUUAAGGAUAUAUAUGCUGCAGCUUGAGAGGGAAUAUUGGAAUUAUUUUAUUCUCUGUUCAUAUCUGUGCAUUUAUGUUCAUAUAUUUUUAUACUUAUAUUCCUUUUUUAUAUUGCUCUGAACAAUUAUAUAUAUCAAUUGUACUCUCUCCUUAUCAUGGAAUAAGAAAUACAAUAUUUCAUUCUUUCUUCUUUUCUAACAAAUGCAAGCAACAAAUUAUAGAUGUCAGGCACCCUCGCUCUUCUUUAACAAAAACAAUUCAAACCAAAUAUAACCCUCUGCGGAAGAUUCACAUGUUCUAAUAUACAAGAAACUCUCGUAGCUCCAGAAAACAAGCAAGGGAAAGGGUUAAAUGCAAAUUGAUUCAAAUUCCUCAUCCCAUUUCAACGUGAGUACAAAACCUACUAAAAAGAUAAAGCUUUCAGGGUUUAAAUUUGGGAGGUGCACUGGUCCUGAAGCCUUUCCAAAUCCCAAAUACGACGACAUUCUUCUUAUUCUUCUUCUAUGAAACAACUAUUCUAUUUUGGCACAGAGCAUAAGCUUCUUCUUCUUCAUCUAAUGACCUUUUCUCCUUCUUCGCUUGGAUUCGGGAUAAAGAAGAAACCCAAAAAUCAGGUAUCGUUCUUCUUCUCUUCCCAGCGGGAGUGAACUUUUAAAACUUCUAUGGGUCUUACGAAAACUCAGUGUGGUGAUUCCAAAUUGAUCCUCAAGGUGAUUAAGCGAGUGAAGAAAGGAAGCAAGACUAUUCAGACAGGUUAAAAUUAUAUUCCAAUCGCAAGCCCANAAAAUCUCAAUCCUAAUCAUCUUGAAGAUUGAUAAACCCUAAUCGCAAGCUCAGUCGCAAUUGCAAAUUUGGGUAAAAUUUGCAUCUUACCAACAAUCUGGUUACCUAAUUUAACCCUAAUUUUAUUACAAUUCCAUGUCACAAUUAAUAAUUUUUUUUAACACAUAAUAGUGCCAACACAAUAAAAAUGUUACACAUCAUCAAAUAUUUGCCAGCUAGGCAGCUCUGCCGUUAACAGAAUUAACGCCAUUACCAAAAAGGACCAACUUGAACAGUUUUUGCGAAAGGUAGGACUAAAGUAAACUUUUGAAAUAAAGGAAGGAUCACUUUGAACAAACCCUCCCAAAAAAACUCUCCCAAAAGAGGGACCAAAAUAGGUAUUAAACCUUUUUACUUUUAACCUAUUUAAUUACUUUAAUAUAAAACCCUAAAUUUCUAUCAUUUUUACCUUACGUUUUCUUCCAAACCUAAUCCAUUCUCCUUUUCAUUCUACUGCCGCACCACACCCCCACCUCUCUUUUCAUUUUCUUAAUUCUCUCUUUCCUUUUUCCUUCUCUCUUCCUCUUUCUUUUACUUUUUUACUUUUUCUUUAAAUCCUAAUCCCUUCUCCUUUUCACUCCACUUUUAAACAUGAAUUCAGGAAGCAAAACUGCAUGACGUGGGUAUUAUUGGCAACACAAAGAAGCUUUCAGGAGUCAUCUAUGAUUCCUAAAAUUUCAAGAGUGGAAGGAGUAAAGUAUUCUUUAUUUUAUGAGAGACAUCCAAACACUUUAUUCUCUUCUCUAGCUACAUUUUUACUAUUCCGUGGAUCCAGUUUCCGCAUAUUUAAAAAUUGGCAUUCAUCAUUAAAUCAUGAAUAAAUCAACAGAGUAAACGAGUGGUUUCAUAUAUAUUAAAUUUAUUGAAUUUUAUAAUAAUUAUUUUAGAAUUAUACUUGACAUGUAUAAAAAUCUUGAAAACUCAAGAAAAAAGAAAGAUAAUGAGUGUUUGUGCAUGGGAUGGGAGGGAAGUUUGAAAAAGGAUAUCGAGAUCCAUUUCUUCAACGACUAUAGUGUGUGGUGAUGGACUCCGAAAAUAGUCUCUGUAUUUUCGGUUGUGGAGGGCGUGUCUUUUCCACUAUAAAUUAUUUUAUCGAUGUAGAAAACGUGUGAACUCUAUUCUUACUCAACUAUACAAGAGGAACAAAGUUUGAAUUAUGAAAGAAAAUUAAGAUCCAUCCAUGGCAAAAAAAGUUAGCAGCAAUUUUCUGCAUCACCGUUGUCACCAAGGUCUCAACACAAACCAAAUCCUAAUACAUCUCAAAGAGUAUGAUCAGGUAAUACUUUAUGUGUAUCGUUUGAUAUAAUUUUUUGAUAAUCGUAUUUUUUUUUUCAAAAUGUAAUCAGAUAUUCAAUUUUUUAUGUUGUGUAUAAAAAAUUCAUUAAAUAUGCUUUUCAAGUGAAUUUAUGUAUUAUGAAAAAAAUUAUUCUCAGUCAAAACUACCUUGAAUUAAAAAAUAAAAAGAAAAUUGCUAGAUAUUUCAGGCACUACCACUAAAUAAGGUUUUACGUUGCGGUGGUAAGCAACCAACUUCCACUUCAACCCUAUCUUAUUUGAUAUGGCAAAGUAACUAACAUGAAGUUUUAUAUUUAUAUAAAAUAUAUAAUGAAAAAUAAAAAUAUAAAAUAUCGACUAUUUUUUUUUUCUAAAGUAAAGAGAGAGAACGGUUUUUCUUAAUAAUUUCGAUUGGAUCGGACGGUGGAAGAGUGUAACCGACAUAGUCAAUGGCCAGGAUUUGUGGAAUGUCACGUGUCCGAUUUGGAUCCACCGAGUGCUAUUGCUUUGCCAGAGAACGUCGUUUUGGACUCAACAAUUUAGAGUUGAGUAACAAAGGAGUUAAACCGAUUAACAUAUAAAUCUAUACAUACCAGGAUACACUACAUCAUUACUUUUCUCUGAAAUAACAGUUAGUUAUUCUUCAAUAUUAUUUUUAUAAAAUUAUAUAUGUGUGUAUUAAAUUAUAUUGCUUUUCUAUUUAUUAUUUAAUUACACACAAAAGUAAAAUUAUAUAAGAAUGUAAUUAAAAAAUGUGAACAUAAAUGUGGAAAGUAAUUUUCACUGGUCUAAAAUAAAAAAUUUGAGUAUAAGAUGCGAUGUUGAGUUGCUAUAAAUGAGGGCGGAGCAUUGUGAUUUGCCAAUUUGUCAGUGAAAAAUAAUUGUUAAAUCUGGUUAUCGUUCCUGUUGCAGGGAAGGGAUCAGAUCCAGCAGCAUUCCCACUGAUAGAAACUCCAAACACAAAUUAAGGUUUUUGUGAUCUCUCAUUCAUUCUCAGUACUGUGGAAGACGGUGAUCUGCAACUGCCUCUUGUAAGCACUGCCCCCUACUGAAAAGGAUUCCUUUUUCCUGGACACUCAUUUUGCAUCAGGUAUGCAUGUAUUUGCGUUGCAAUUCUUCUGUGUACAUGUACCAUUGCUAAUAUCUCACGGAAUAUUCAGUUUUCAUUUACUUGGAACUGCUAACUCAAUUAUGAUCUUCUUGAGAAGAGCCAGUCUAGAUCUGGGUACACCUGUGAAUGCCUUUUAGUGUGGCGUACAUUAUCACGUAUUUUGUUUUAUUUUUGUUUCUGUUCAUAAACAUGUUCAUUUGUUGAUCUAGAUUUGGCUACUGGAUACCUGUAUAUUAUGUGAUUUGUCCUACCUUCCAUUUUUAUGAUUGUCCUACAUAAUCAUAUUGCUUUUAAAGAUGGCGUUUUAUGAUUUGUUGAUGAGUUGCUAAAUGCAGCCUUUGUGUUUUUAUAAACCCCGUGUUAUUUAAUAUCAGCAGUUCAACUGAUAUAACUAUUCUUUUGUUUAUAAUACAUAGAUAAGCUUCAAUUUUUAGAUAUUUCCUUUCUUUGCCGAGUUCAUGGUUGAGUUGCUAGUUGUGAUUAUGUGAGUCCCUCAAAGAAUUUAACCUUCAUAUGGGCAGGUACAUUCGAAAGAAGUCAAAUUUGGUGGGUGAGGAAUUUCCAGCAUGUUCAGGUUAUCUCCCCGGAGGAGUCAAAGAUCCAAAGGCGGCUUCAAGGUGAAGCAUGCUCUACAGUUAUGUGUUCUGCUUGGCGUUUGUAUCUGGCUAGUCUACCAAAUCAAACACUCUAAUGACAAGAAAUCAUCCUUUGUUGAAAGCACGAAGACUGGCGGUGAGAUUAUCAAGUUGGGGAGGAAGGACCUUCAUCCUCACCUGGAGAAAACUCCAGUGGUUGAUGCGAGGCACAAGGAGGAGGAGGAGGAUGAACAACAAGAAAACAAGCACGAAGAGCUAAACAAACUGGAUGAUGUUAAUGGUGUGGAAGAUGAGGCCCUGAAGCAUGAUGAGCAAAAUAAUAAUGAAGAGAAUUCUGAGCACAGACAGGAUUCAGUAGACCAAGAAACUGAAGAAAAUUCUGAAAUUGCUAGAACAGAAGGGGAAGCUGAACAUCAUAAUGAGCAAGUUUUUGGAGAGAAUGAAGAUAUGGACAACAAGGAGAGUGAGAGUACAUUGAAGGAUAAUGAGGAGAACAAUAGUGAAACGGAGGAAAAAGAAACUGGAGAAGUUAAAGAAGAAAAGAAUGAGCCGGAGAAUGACAAUAUGGAUAACAAUGAGAGUGACAAUGCAAUAAAGGAGAAUGAAGAGAACAAAAGCGAAGGGGAGAACAAUGAAACUGGAGACACUAACGAAGAGAAAAGUCAGCAAACUAACGAAGAGACAGAGAAUAAAGAUAAGGAGAAUGAAGAGGUGAAACAGAAUGAAACUGAAGAGAAGGAGGAGGGAAAUCAUGAGCAAGAUAGUAAAGAAAUGACAGAUGAGAACAACCAUGGAGAAACUGGGGGAGAAGAGAAAGACAAAAUUCAGGAAGAGAUUACAUCUAAAGAUCAGGCUCAGGACGGGGGCAAAAGUGAGGAGGAGCAUAGAGAGGAAAAUUAUGCUGGAGAUAAUGCUUCUAGUGCUGUAGACCAUAAGCCGCAAGACACGGAUGAAAAUUAUAAGACAAAAGAAGAAUCUGAUAAAAAGGAAAACAAUGAGUUCGAGCUACAGUCUCAGAAGAAUGCUGACAACAAAGAAGGGGCUGAUUCUAGUGUCACAACAAGCAGCCAAGGAAAUGAAAGUGAUGCUGAAAAUCAGGCACAAUCAGAGAAUGAGUCACAGAAAAGUUCCACGUCAGAAUCAGAAUGGCCGCAUCAAGAGAAAAAUGACUCCACAAAGGAUGGUCUAGAUACUCUAGAUUCAUCACUGCAGAAUGGGAUUGACACAUCAUCUCAGAAUACUGAAGCAUCAGAAAAUGAAAACAACUCCAAAGUAGAGGACUCCAACAUGCAGAAUGCAACACCAAAAAUCGAAGAUUCUUCUUCUUCUAACUCAGAAGAAGCGUGGAAGAAAGCUGAAACACAUGACAGCAAUGCAAACGAUGGUGAAUACAAGGACACAACAAGUAAUAUUGCUCAGAAUGAAAACCCAAGCAACAGUUCUGUCCAAGAAGGAAAGCAAGAAAAUGUUGCAUCAUCUGAUACUUCCUCAGAACAAAAGAAAGAUGAAGCCGCAAAUGUAGAAAGUAAUACAUAUUCUGCGCAGAAUGACAAUGCUGAUCAAACCAACGCAAACAGUGAUGGAAGUGCUAAUGACAACAAAGAUUCUAACCAGUCUGAUUCUUCAUCAGAGCAAAACAAAGAGGGAUCGUCCAACUCGGAUGACAGCAGUACUAGCCAGUCUGGCACUUCAUCUGAGAAAAACAAAGAGGAAUCCUCAAACUCAGAUAACAGCAAUGAUUCUAACCAGUCUGACACUUCAUCUGAGCAAAACAAAGAGGAAUCCUCAAACUCAGGUAACGGCAAUGAUGCUAGCCGGUCUGACACUUCAUCUGAGCAAAACAAAGAGGGAUCCUCUAACUCAGAUAACAGCAAUGAUAGCUUGUCUGACACUUCAUCUGAGCAAAACAAAGNUCAUCUGAGCAAAACAAAGAGGGAUCCUCUAACUCAGAUAACAGCAAUGAUAGCUUGUCUGACACUUCAUCUGAGCAAAACAAAGAGGGAUCCUCAAACUCAGAUAACAGCAAUGAUGCUAGCCAGUCUCAAACUUCUUCUGAGCAAAACAAAAAUGAAACCUCAAACUCAGAUGACGGCAGUGAUUCUAACGAGAAUGCCUCUAAACCCAACGAAAAUCAAAAUGACAAUGGGAAUCAUAAUGGUGAAGCACAAGACAAUGCUUCGGGUUCAUCCAUUCCGGAAGAGAAAGAUGCAUCUUCAAAUAACAAUGCUGAUGCAGGGCAGGUUGAGAAUGAUAACACAGUUCAGAGCAAUACUAGUGAAAAUGAAGAUGGUACUCAAAACAAAACAGUGGAGUCACAAAAGGAGGAGGAAUCUGCACAAUCGAACGGAGACAGCAAUUCUAACAUGAAUGAUCAAGGAAGUUCUGAUCAUUCAAUCACUCAUGAGGAUAAAGAAUCUCGCGUGGAUUUGCCACAAUCCCAUGAAGAAAGCAAUCAUAUUAAGGAUACUGCAGCACAGUGAUAAUUCUAAUAGAAUAAUUGUAUGCAGCUUCUUUUGGUCCUACUUUUUCGAAUUUUGUUGAGUUUCUUUAGUUGGUUAUUAUGAUGUCAAGCUUUUUUGUUUUCAAAGUCAGAUUAAGAAUUUAGAAAGACCUACAGCUUUCUUUGUAUAAAUUAUUCGCUAUUCUUCAUAUGUAACCUGAACCCUUUAAUGGAAACAAUAAUUAUCAAGUUAAAAAUAUCAUCAGAGCAAAGUUCCGCAUCUUUCUACAACUGACCCUCUUUUUCUUACUGUUAUUUUGGAAAGGUUAUUGAAUCAUAACUCAAGGCAUGAAUCAUUUGGCUAAAAUUUUAGUUGUAAAUGAUUUAUAUUAAGAUAUUAGUUUUGAACUGGAAAACGAUCAGAAACAGUACAAAAUAAAAUUAUAACUGUCUGUAAAGCACUUAUUUUAGAACACUGAAUAAAAUAAAUGAAUUACCCAAAUAUAGUGCAAAAAUAACUGUACGAGUCCCAUUUUAUGAAAAGGAAAAUCGAACAGUGAAUCUCCAUUGUAUGUUUAAUAAGCAUCGGAUUGGAAGAAUAUAGCCAAUCAUUUAUGAUUCAGAAAAUGACAUGAAUGGUAAGACUCCAAUAUUUGUUCUGCUUUCUCAAGCGACCAAUAUGGUUUUUCGUCUUCCCUGCAAAAACAUGACUACUUAUAACAACAGCUGGUGAAAAGACAAAAGAGAAGGAGUUUGUACCUGAAACUAAAUUUCGUAGCAUAAGGGAACAUCAAGUCACUUAUCAAGGUUAACAGUUUUACAUUUCUUGAUAUCUUUUUUCAAUUUUGGACUUCUUUUAUAUUUUUGUCUUUCUGCCUCCGUGAUCGGGUUGAGACAUGUUGAUAUUGACAAUUGACACUAAAAGAAAUGUGAUGAUGUUUGAGUCAAAAACCAGAAAGAGUUUAAAUGCAGACAACAAUGGAGAAGCUAUAGGCAGUUAGCCUUUCCUUAACUAGAUGGCGCCUCUACAACUAACCCAAUACAACGAUGAUACAACUGUCAUAACCGCUGCAUGCUUAAAUUUCACUUGCGUUAGGAAACCAACUGCACCUUCUUCAAGAAGAAGACCUUCAAGUAUUGUGGAUAAUGACUUAACAUAAUUUUAAAUUAUAUUCAUAUUUAUAACAAAAUUAGUUAUUGAUUAAACUAUGAUUUUUGAGUCUAUUAAGAUAGAAAGUACUAGAAUAUUGACAUAAUCCAUCAUCAUCGAUAAGUUGUCAGUUUGUUUUAAAUUAACAGUUAUCUUUUAAUAUUUCUGGGAUUAUUGCAAAUCUCUUUUUAAUUUAUACCAGUUUUGAUCAAAUCAACCCUAGACCGACCCACAAUUUGAAGAGCUCAAUAAUAAAGCAUUACCUGAUCGUUGAAGGAACAUAGGCUACGAGACUCCAACCUUAUUCAUCCUACAACUGGGUAGUGCAUUAUUCCUUGUAGAUUAAAAGUUCAUAAAUAAAAAUUAACAGUAUAAUACUAAAUUAAUGUGUUUAACUUAAUUUUGUAACACAUCUUUAACGCCUAACUUAGAAAUAUAUACAUCCAUAAUUAUCCGAAUAAUAUCCUCUACAAAUAUUUUCUUUAUAUACUAAUACAAACAUAUACAGAUGUAUACGUGUCUGUCAUUUUUUAUGAUAAUAGAAAAGUAUAUGCAAUUAAAAAAAUAAAUGUAAUCAUUAUUAAAAUACAAAUGUGAUUAUUAAAUUUAUAUUAAAAUUAUAAAAAAAGUUCAAAUUUAUUAUUUUAAUUAUAUAAUAAGAGCCCUAUAGUUUUUCAUAUAACUAUUACUUAGUUCUUUCAUAAAUAAUCAUAUUUAUAAAGAUAAAAAAACAAGUAAAAUAAAUCUGUGAAGAAAAAAAGGCCAUAAAAUAAACAGUGUGUAUAUAUAUAUAUAUAUAUAUAUAUAUAUAUAUAUAUAUAUAUAUAUAUAUAUAUAUAUAUAUAUAUAUAUAUAUAUAUAUAUAUNUAUAUAUAUAUAUAUAUAUAUAUAUAUAUAUAUAUAUAUAUAUAUAUAUAUAUAUAUAUAUAUAUAUAUAUAUAUAUAUAUUUGUGUAUGUGUAUAUAGUGUAUAUAUAAUUUACAAAAAGUUUCCUUUUCUUCCUUUUGGUGAAGACACAGAGAAGGUAAACUGUCUUAAGGAGAUUGGACAGAUAAGGCAGUUGUCAGUUAAAGUUUUGGAGGUUGCAGUCUAGACAACCAAGUACAUCCUUUUGAAUAAGAAUUUGGAAAAGUAAAAUUAAGUUAUUCAAAACACUAAAAUUACAAUCGUUUUGGAUUUAAUAAAGCAUGCACAUUUCGUGUUCAAAAUCGACUCUCACUAUUAUAGCAGGUCAAUUCUUUCCCCAAUUUUUUAGGUAAGAAAUAUAAGUAUUGAAAUUGUUAGUUGUUUUGUUUUGUACUGCUGAUUUGUGCCAGUAAAGAUGUUAUCCUUAACUCAACCAUCUAACAAAGACAUGAUUUUUCUUCUGUGAGAGUUCAGUCAUUAAGAAGAAAAAGGUAAUAUCAUGAUGAAUUAAGUGACAGAUGUCAUUAUGGUUUAAAACGAUCAUCGUAGAUUUAAGUCAAUUAACCAUAAGCUAUCAACACCCAUUCUUUAUUAUUCGUUACUAUUUUCAUAACUUUAUCUAUUAUAAUCAUUUAUUACUUUUUAAAAUGUAAUUUAACAAUUCAACCAUUUUAAAUAUUACAAUAUUAAUCAAUAGUAUUUAAAUAAUUUAAAUAUUUAAUUUAUAUAUUGGUCAUAAAUGAACACUUUUUUAAUUUUGUUACCAUUAUUUAAUAAAAUAGGUAAAUACUUGAAUUUUACUAUUAUAAAAAUUAAAUUAAGUUAGUUCAUUUUGACUUAUUACAAUAAAUAUAUAAAUAAAUUAAAAAAAUAAAACAUUCUUAGAUUAACCCAUUCACUAAAUCUAUCAACCCCCGAUAAAUCAAGAAUAGUUAACAAAUUUUCUAAUUCAUCAAAAGAUAAAUCAAAUUAAGCUAACUCAAUUUUAAUUCAACCCAUAUUAACCACUCAUGAGUCAAAUUCACUCACUUUGUCACCUUUAUCAGCAAUGCAUCAUAUUUUGUGGAUAGCAGACUAAGAGGAAAACCCUCCAGUGAAAUUCUUUGGUAAAAUAAUCCAACAUAGUUCCUAAACUCAAAAAAAUAAAAUUGCCACACAUGUUAAAUUAAUACAACUACAUCAUCACUUACCCACUUCAAAUACAUAUUAUCUUUUAGGAAACUGCCUAUUUAGUCAAAUUCAACAACGAUAGAACCAUAAAGAUUUAUUCCCAAAUCCAGCGGUUAAAAAUUCUUGGAAAAUAUAUACAGCAAUUAACAUUUUUAUAAUUUGUAUCUUCUUCCAUUCACAAACAUGGGUUGCCUAUCUUCAAAAAUCAAAACAAAAGCUAAGAUCGACCAGAAAACAGCUAAGGAGAUAACAUAAUAUAAUAUAAACCUGCGGCCUCACGAUCGAUUUCUUUCAAAAUUUAUUGAACCAAGAAUCGACAUGAAAAGAAACAUAAUUUUGUUUGGCAAUUUUAUUUUGUUUCAACCAUAAAAAAGAACACAAGAUAAAAACAUGGCAAACAAAUGUUGUCAAGUGCUAGUUGAAGAUCAUAUUUCAAAAACCGCAAUAGUCAAUCACUAUGUCUUGAACAUUGACGAAAGAAACGCCCCCGGUACCACAAACACCUUCACUAAACCACUAAUACUCUCUUAGUGGUGCUUCUUAGUUUCGAACAGCCCAUCGGGACCUGCUUAUCAUAAAAGAAACAUGUCAUACAACCUGAAAUUUCAGUCCAACAAUAUUUUGAAGACAAAGGCAGACACAGUAGCAUUGGAUUACUAACAGCAGACAAGGGAUGCAAAUACACAAGAAAUCUGCUACUAAUGUAGAAGCAAACAGUAACCUCUAAUCUUGUAUAUAAUUCAUAUAUCUAGACAAGUUUCCCCUUAGUUACUAAAAAUAUGAAAAGAAAAAAUUAUAUAAACUUUUUUUAUAAGCUAAAAUUAGUUUCUUUAUUCGUUAUAUAUGAUUUUAGCUUCUCCAAAAUAAUUUUAACCAUUACAUAAAUUUUACCUUCUAAGAAAAACGUAUUUCAUUUUUUUUUUGCUCAUUUUCUACAAGUGUUUGUAGAGAAACCUGUUCAAACAGAACUAUAAGAAUAAACAACCACCUCUACAGGCAUACUGUGAUAAUAAAAUUAGAAAUUUAUACACACAACCAAAAAUUAAUAAUGAGUCACUCAGAAAUACUGGUUGGGUAUAAGAGCAACUUCAGUACCCUUAAAAAAUAAUUUAUGAAAGAAAAAAAGCAAGUAGCAAGGGUUGAAAGAGCUGAGUAGUGUAGCACUGUUUAGUUGCUUAUCAAUGAAAAUCUAGGGGGGUGGUAUGGGGUGGAUGUGAGUAACUUCUGGGAUCUAUAUUGAAAAUUUCUUUACAUCAAAUCAUUGCCAACGAUAAUUAUUUAAGUUGCAAAAAUAAAAGAAAACGAUGAGGCAGUGUGACCUAACACUUGUGCACCUCUAAAUCAAAGCACUAUGGGCGACGCUCCAAAGCAAUAAAUGAGUCCCUUUUCAUACACUCGUUUAUUGCUUUGUGAGAUUUUUGCCCAUGUGUAUCACUUUAUCGACAGAGAUACAGAAACGGGAAGGAGUCGUGACAAGAAUGUGCCAUGCUUAUAAAAAGAGAAAAUUAAUGCUGGGUUCUCAAUCCUUAUAUUGGAGGCCAUGCAAACAAACAUGUAAAAACUGAAAGCAUUAAAAAAAAUCAUUUACACCGGAUCUCCGACUUAAAAAUGGAAUUACAUGUUCAACUUGCAAUUUUGAUAAUUGGAACCAAUAUAUGCAUAAAAACUGUGACUGAAAGAGCCCACAAAUAAUAAAAUGUGAAUAAUAAACCCCAAACAGCCACAACCUAGCCUCCCUACCCAUCCAUUAGAAACCAAGUCCAGUAUACUAAUCAACAAAAGAUGGCUUCCAUUCACUAAAUAAAAAUGAAAAAGUGUCAUGUAAACAGUUCCUACACUAUUAUUAACAAAAAUAAAAAAGUAUAGCCAACUAGAUUUUCCAGCACUAAAGGAACGUAGGGAAAAUUCAAAACAAUUCAAAUAUUUUAGAAAUAAUUACUACUUCUAAAGAAAGCUACAUAUCAUAGAUAUAAAAGCAAAAAAUUGAAGACAUACCCCAGGGGAAUUCCUUAUUGCGGAUAUGUAAAUAUGGGUAAGCCUGCGCAGAAAAGUACAAAAUUAAACUUUUAUUUUAAUAAUACAAAACGAACAUACUUGAAUAUGCACUGGAGAUGGGGAAAUGUUAGCCAGCGAAAUACAGAGUAACAAUAAUGAACAACUGCAGAUGUGUAGAAACAAAAGCUCACGGGAGGUUCUUCUGUGUGUGGGUGGCCCUUUGAUAAAUUAUAAAUGGCCAAACCAGUGCAACUGACAAUGCCUAGAUAUGUAAUCUUCUCCCAUUUGGCCGUCUCGUCUGAGAAAAAAAUGAGAAAAAAAUGAGAAGAGAAAUAAUUAAAAAAUAUAAAACAAAUGUUUGAAAUAAAACAUGCAAAGUGCAAUAUAGGUGAGCUAGAGGAAAUCUAUCAAUCUCAACCUGAAACAAAAGAUACAUUAAAUUCUUAACAGAAAGGUCAAUAUUACAGUGAUGAAGUAAGACAGAAAAAUCCUAAUAUUACUUUGUUCAUUUAAUCGGAUAGAUGUUGCUAUCUAUAAAUACAAACCCAAUGAGUCUAAAUCCAGAAAUUUAAACGCAACCAUGUAAUCGGAUUCGAAACUAACGUUUGAAAUCGAGAUAAUUGAAAACUCGGUUUAUUUAGUUAUUAUCAUUUCGAACACAAGCAAACAAAUUUUCAAACUUAGAGUCGAAAUGAAUGCACAAAUCCAUUUCGGCGGAGAAAAAAUAGAAAUUACGAAACGAUUUCAGCACAGAAAGAAAUCGACCGCAAGCAGUUCAAAUUAAAAGUCAGAAGAAAAAAAAAACGGAGCGCAUAAUUCUUUUAAUCUCAAAUAAAAUGGAACUGGACCAAUCUCAUCAAUACACAAACCCUUUCCGCACGGAAAUUGACCUAAUGCACGACAAGCUCCCGCGAAACAAAACUACUGCAGCAGAUCUAAUUAUUAAAACCCUAAAAUAAAUAGGGUUAGAGAAGAGAGAGAUGAUAAGGUACUUACAAGCAUCAUCGUGAUGACCAGCGGAAGAAAAGUUUCGCUUGGGAACCUGGGAGCCGCGAGCGCCUCCACGUAGGGCCGUUCGAAGAAAACCCGAUCGUACCAGCGAUGUCGCCAUUGCUCGCCGCUUGACUCUUUCUUUUUUUCUGUUUUAGCUUUGAAGGGGUAACACAGACAAUAGUAGCUUGUUAAACAUGAAAACUGGUUAUAUAUUGCUCGAAUACACCUGGCACAAAUUCCAUCAUUUUCUGUUUAAUAUCUUUCAUUUUUUCUGAAGAAUCAAUUGUGAUUUUAGUAUUAAAAAUGAACGGAUUUCUUUUCAGCCUAGUAAUUUAUUUUUUAUUUUUCUUUUUACCUUUCCAAAAUUUAAAACAAUUAUAUUUUUCUUUUAUAAAAUUAUGUGUAAACUCUAGUUUAGUUUUUGUAAAUACUUUCCUAUAUUUAACUUUCAAAAUUCUAAAGUUAUUAUAAUUUUGUAAUACAUAUUUUAUAUAUCUUAAUUUCUUUAGUGAUAUUUGUGACCAUUAUUUAAAGUUUUCUAUAACAUGUACGGACACUAUCUCGUGGCAAAAAUACUAAUAUUAGCUUUUAGAAUGUAAAAAUCAAAGAAGAAAUAGGUUUAAUUGAAUUGUUUGGGAUUAAAUUAUCUUUUGUUUUUAUGAUCACAAUACUUGUUUUAAGAAAAAGACUACUUUUGUAUUUAAAACAUUUUUGGUAAAUUAUUAAAAAAUAUUUUUGAAACUUAAAAUAUGAAGCACAUUGUUCUCUUUAAAAUAUUGUUUAUUCUAAAAUUUAAAAAUGAAUAAGCAUGUUGAUUUGAUGAUAAUGAAUUGAAAAUAAAACUUAUCUUUUUAUACACUUAUUUGGUUGCUCAUGUGUUUCUUUUUAGAGAUAUAAUUUGAGUAAAACUGGAUGGAUUUAUUUGAAGAAAAAUAUAGAACAAAGUGAUUUAGUUUCUUUUAAGGGAUUUAAAGUAGAAAUAGAGAGAUGUGAAGAUAAAAUUCAUAAAAAUUUAUGAAUGAUUUGAUGAAUGUAAAAGAUAAAAAAAAAUAUAUAUUUUAAUGUAUAGAAAUAUAAUAUUACAAUUUUGAUUUUAAUGUUAAAUGAAUAAAAAAAAUGUAUGUAGUUAAAAUUAUGGAAAAAUAAAAUGCAAAUAAUUACUUUUUAAAUUUAAAAAAAAAAAUAUUAUAACAAAAUUUUAAUAAAAUUAAUAUGUGAUUGUUUGGAAAUAGUCUUAACUAAAUAUUAUAUUGUAAUAAAAUAAGAAUAAUUAUUAAUUAAUUAUUAUUAUGAUUAACAUUUUUAUUAUGGGUAUAACUUAAAAGAGUAAAAGUGUAACAUCAAGAUCUUAUGCACAAUACUUUCAACUUAAUAUAGAAUUAUAACAUUUUCUCGUUAAAUAUAUUUAUUUUUGUUAGUAAAUUGAUGAAUUAUGAAAAAGGAUUUAAAAUAAAAUACGAUGAUUUUGAGGUGUUAAUUAGUUUCUAUUUUUUAGUUGUCCCAAUAAAAUUAUAAUCACAACCUCAUAAAUAAUUAAAUUUGGCUAAAAAUUUUAUCAGCUAUUAUUUAAAUAUAGUUUUCCAUUAUGAUUCGUCAGAUUUACAAUUAGAAGUUUAUAUUAAGAGGAAUAAUUUCAACAAUUUAACGUAAAAGUUAGGUCAUCAUAUAUUGUCUAGUUUUGAGUUGUUUUGAUAAAAAAUUUAUUUCCACUUAGUUAAUCAUUGAAUUUAUAUGAAAAUUUUAUCAAAAGUUCAUAAGACAUAAUACUUCAUUUUGAUCGUUAGAAUUUUUAUAUAGAUAUAUUUAGUUAGAAAACUAACGUUGUUGUUUCGAGCUACUUUAGUAGAAAUUUAUUUUUAUGUAUGUUACCAUUUGAUCAAGCUCAAACUUUUAGAACUUAUUCUUAAAAUAUUAUAUUCACUCUGACAACUUAGAUUUACAUUUAGAGUAUAAAAUGUAAUUUUUUGAAUUUAAGGUGUUAUGUUAAUGUGUUCAUAAAUUUUAAAUAUUAAUUUUAUCAAAUUUUAAGAAUAUAUAAAAUGUAAAAAAUAGUGAAACAUGUAACGGAGCAUUUUUACACUAUGAUUAAUGAAUACAUAUUUUAUAAUAUUAUAUAAUAACUUGUGAGUGUACAAUGAAAAAUAUAUAUUAAAAUACUAAUGUAAUAUUAAUAUAAACUUAUAUAAAUAGAUACUUUGAGAGAAGAGGAAGGAAAACUCUUCACCCUUCUCCCAUGCCUGCAUUCUUCUUUUUUUCACUUUCACUUACAUUGUUUUCAAUUUAAAAAAGAAAGAAUUAUUAAUCAGAUUUCAAAAUGAUUAAGAGGUUAAUACACUAGUGAGUUUAAAUUUUAGGAUGUUAAAAACAACAUAUGCAAGACUAGAAGAGUAAUUGCAAAUUUAACAGCCGACUUUCUAUCUAAAUUUUUAUUAUAUUGAGAGGAGUAGCAUUUAGAAUUCUCUUCCUUUUCUUCUUCAAAUUGUUGCGAGUCACUAAAAAGGAAGAAGUACACAUUCCUCAAAUCUCCUCUCACAAACAAUACAUAUGCUUAAGGGAACACUGUGUAAAGUGGUGGGUUGACUUAAAUACGUGUCGAUUUUUUUUAAAUAUUAAUUUAUUUUAUUUUGUAUAAAUAUAUCUAUAAUCACUUUCUCAAUUGUAUACGAAUACAAAUAUAAUUAUUUAAAGAUGUCUUAUGCUUAAAAUAUGUUAGCUCAUAAUGUCAAAUUUAGAGUUAAAUAUAAUUUUAGCUAUCAAACUAUUGAUUAAAAUGAUAUUAUAUUUCUAUUCAAAGUAUUAAUUAAUUUCAUUCUUAUAUUUUAUAAAGGAAUAAUGGUAAAUGGUAGUUAUUUCAUUUUCUUCAUGCAACAUUCUCUCCUCACUACAAUUUUCUCUCCUUAUUUGGAGACCAUAAAAUUUGUUAUCGACUUUCCUUUUCACCUCUCUCAUUUUUUAUCUUUUUUCCUCAUCUUCAACUUUCACUUCUUCACGUUGUCUGCUCAGGUUUCAAAAAAUCACUUUCCAUCUUAUCAUCAAGAGAGCUAAAAACAGUUACAAAAUUGGAUUUUUGGAAAAAAAAAAAACUAAAAGAAAAAAUGGAAAAAAUCACAGUGAAGGCACCAAAUUGUUGCAUUGUGGUAGUUAUGGGAGAAGGUUGAGAGUGACACUGGGAAGGGAUAGUAAGAAUAAGAAUUUCAAGUUUUAAAGAAGGGUUAACAAGAAGGAAGUAUUUUAAGGACAAAUUCUCUCAUACUACCAUGUACGAUAUACAAUUACCAAAUUCAACCUUAUUGGAGAUCCAUAAGACAAUUUCAUAAUAUAUAAGUAUAAAUCUUAUCUUUCAUACAAAUUUUAUAAGGUUAAAUUAGGUUUUAAAGUCCCUUUUUUAAGAUGACUGAGAGUCAUCCAAAGCUUAUCCUAGUGAGAUUUGUUGUUUGUUGAGUCUAUCAUGCCACUCGUUACUGGAAGAUUUGUUGUUUAUUUUACUUAUCAUACAACCUACUAUUGCAAAACUUGUUAUUUGUUGGGCCUAUUGUGCCACCAUUAACAUGUCACUAUUAGACCACCAUUAAUGUUUAGUCUUGUGCUCAAAAUAUAUAUGCAUCGGCAUGAGGGAUGUGUUGAAAAUUUCACAUUGAUUAGAAAUAAAAAAAAAAUAUAUAAUAUAAGUGGAUACAAACCUCGUCUUAUAAAUCAAUUUUAAAAGGUCAAGUUAGGUUUAAAGUUCACUCAUUAAAAACCUCACCCUUGAACACAAUACCUCAUAAUCCCUAACUAUAGUUAGAAAUGUUAGAAGUCUCACAUCGACUAGAGAUAAAACUAAUUUAUUGUAUAUAAGUGGAUGCAAACCCCACCUUACAAACCGGUUUUGUUAGGUUAAGUUAGGAUUAAAGUACACUUCUUAAUAUGAUAUAAAGUCAUCAGUUAUAAUUUAUCCUAGCAAAAUUUGUUGUUUGUUGGGUAUUAUUCAACUCGUUAUCGUUAUAGUAUGUAGGAAAUUCCACAUAGACAAGAUAUAAGACUAAUUUGCUACAUAUAAAUGGGUGCAAACCUCAAUAUAAGCUGAUUUUAUAAAGUUAAGUUUAAAGUUCACCUCUUAAGAAGUAGAGAACAUUGAAAGGAGAGGGAAACUCUAACAUGGUUAGAUGUCUUGUUGUCGAUGACAUUUUAUAUUCCUUUAAAAUGCUGAGAUAAAUUGAUAUAUACUUUGGAUCAAAGAUGAAAUACAAUUUUAAUUAAUAAUUUAAGAGUUAAAUAUGUUUUUGGUUCCACAACUUCCAGUAAAAAUUGGAAUUAGUUUCUUUUUGAAACUUGAGCUCAAUUUAGUCCUUCAACAUAGUGAAAUGUGUUGAUUUAGUCCUUUUAACCAAAUUUUGUUAAUUUAUUUAACGUUUCAAACGCAUUUCUUAGCUAAUAGUAAAAUGAAUUUGUGUCAAACUGUGUAAACAACUCAAAUGUUGUCAUGAAACAAAUUUGAAAUAUCAAAUAAGUUUAACAAAAUUUGGUUAAAAUAAAUAAAUUCACACAUUUCUAAAGUUGAAGGAUUAGAUUAGAUUAGACUAAAGUUUUGAAGAGAAAUUAAUUCCAAUUUUGAUUAAAAAUUAAAAAACCAAAAACAUAUUUAACCAUAAUUUAAAACAAAAAACAUAUAUAACCUUACAUUUAUUUUACCAUUGUUUUUGAAAAUUAAAUAGACUAUGAUAAAUUUAACUUUUUUUGUGGAAUAGUUCUAGAAGUUUAGCCCUCCAUGAAUGGAGUAGAAUACAUGAUGAAAUAAAAUGAGAGGAGUGGUGGAUGAAUGUUUCUUAGUGGAAGAGUCUCAAAAUGAAUGAGUUAUCUUUCUUUUAUGUCUUUCAUGUCUUGGUCCUAUCAAAAGCAAUGAUUUUUGCAUCAUAACGUGUUUGAAUCUACAUGCAUAUUAAUUAUAUGAGUUUAAGGUUUCUAGGUUUGGUUGAUAAUCUACUUUAAUUAAAUUUAGGAAUUUUCAUAUGAUUAAAAAGUUUUUGCUAUCAAUUGAGAAUGUACUUUGAUUGGUGGCAAUAAUUUUAACUAUAAUUAAUUGAUAAUUUACUUUGAUUAAUUAGCUUUUAAUUUGGUUAGGAGAUUUAAGAAUAGACAUGGUUAAACACAAUAGAAUUUGAUUGAGAAUGUACUUUGGUUGAAUUUAUUGUGAAUAAUCUAGAAAGGUCUUGCAUUUGAUUGAGAAUCUAUUUUGGUUAACUACAUGAUCGCCCUUAAAUUAAUUAAGAAUGUAAGUUAAUUAAUUUGAAACUUGAACAAUAAUCAAUUGAACAAUGAUAUGUGGAUAACCGAUGAUGAAUCUAUCUUGGAAAAGCAGUGGAAUUAGUCUAUUUGAUCAUAAUUGUUUCUAAGUUUCCUCUUUGUUCUUCAAAUAUUAUUCAAACAUUAAUUCCAUGAGCAUAGUUUCUCACUUUCAUUCUUGAGCAUUGCAUAACAUCAAUAAGAUUCAAAUAUUGCAAAGCAAUUCCGUAUUCGUUGAAAGACGACUCAGGUUAUUUUUGUAAAAGAACGUGACCCACAAAAAUAGUUUUACUCUUCAAUUCAUUGUGGAUACUUUUUCAUUAAACCUUAGCAAGCUUUAAAUAAAUGCAAAUAGGACAUUGGGCCAAGUAAAAAUAAUAAAAACUGACAAUAAAAUAUCAACAAACUUUAUUUUAUCUCUAUCAAAAUCAAACCAAAUAUUACUAAACUCAAAACUAAUAAAAUAAGAUUUUAAUGAAUCCCUAAAAUUUAAGUUUAUCCCAAUAAAAUUCCUCCAUAAACUUAAAUUUUUCAUCUCUUAUUUGGCUUUCUAUGUUCAUCAUUCCACACCAGGCUUGCUUUUUUCAAUCAUAUUUGACUUCUUUUUCUUUAUGGCCUUUCUAUCUUUUAGAUUGGUUAACCUCUUUUCCCAAACCUCUUCUCCUUAUUCUCGACCUCUGUUCCCAGGAUCGUCUAGGUUUUGAGUGUUCUGAACUUCUUCCCUUUAGGUGAAACUUUUCUCUUAUAACUUUCUCUUAUCUUUUAUACUUCCACAUAUAUUCCAUUUUACCGAACAAAACCAUUAAAGUGGUCCUCUUGCAACUUUGGACGUGUCUCCCCUACUAUAAAACGUUCAUCAUAAUGAUUUGUUUUACAUAAUGAUUUUUUGGUAAAUAAGUAUAAAUUUACAGGCAUUUUAAUUUAAUUAUGAUCUGAUAUUUUUUUCUAAUUUAUUAUAUUAAUAAUAAUUUCUUAAUACCAUACGAUGCUUAGAAUAUGUUUAAAGAUUUUAUUUGGAUGAUUUUAGAUUGAAUUGGUGUUUUCUCAACGGUACAUGAGCUGGUAAAAAAUGAGUUUCAAAUAAUUUUAACACUUAAACCUAUUAAAUGCUUCCAUAUUCAUUCUAUUUCUUUUAUUACAUAGUUCUACACAUUUAAUCUCAUAAAAAUUGAGUAGUUGAAACUCGUCUAUUACUACAAUCUUUUAUAAUUCGCAAAAGCAAUUGUUGUGUUUCCAUUUUUUAUUUUACAACCUAUAAAAUGUUAAUGUUAAUACAGGAUUUUUAUCAAUUCUUUAUCGAACUCGCCGUGAAAAACCACCAACCUAUAAAUGUUCAUAUUGGAAUGCGAAGAAUUUGAUUAGGUGGUGCGGUAUUAUCUCAUGGAUUGAACUAGAUGGCACAUCAGAAUUAUUAUGUUCUAACAAUAGUAUUUAUUGCAACCAUAUUACAGUAAUGUAUAAAAGUUUAGACUACAAUCAAUUUCAUGCACCGAAACAUCGAGGUAAAUCCUCUUAGUUAUGCAGUCUUUGUUUCUGAGAAAAUAUCAUUGAAAAUUAAAUAAAAAGUUUCAAAAUACUUUAUAUUUAAUAUUUAUUUUUCUGAUUGAUAUUAUAUAUAAUAAACUAUUUUCAAUUCAUUAUUAAAAUAAUUCUUAAUUGAAUAAUGUAAAAUUUUAUACUUAAAAAAAUAAAAAGUUUUAAAUAUCUGUAUUUAAUACAUUUCUUGUCGUUAAAGUAAUUGUAUUUGAAUAAAACUAAAUUUGAAAAGAUUUUAUCAUAAAGCAAAAGCAAACAAAAACCUUUUAAAAUAUUUUUAAAACCCUUAUUUUUAACUGUAAACCAAGUAUUUUUCUUAAGCCAAAAAUAGGCUGGACCAAUAUCCCUUAGUAAAGGAAGAGGGAGAGUUCCCUGAAAAGAACAACCAUACGCUGAGCACGGGAAGAAAAACAACACGACCAAAGUAACAUUACAGUUUUGUAAGUAGAAAAAUAUAACAUAAUAGUGCAAAUAUCUUCUGAUCAAUAAUCUUCUCCUUCUUCAUCUUCACCGUCAGCAGCCUCUGCACCGACUUCCUCAUAAUCCUUCUCCAGGGCAGCAAGAUCUUCACGAGCCUCAGAGAACUCUCCCUCUUCCAUACCCUCACCAACAUACCAAUGUACAAACGCCCUCUUAGCAUACAUCAGGUCAAAUUUAUGGUCAAUGCGAGAGAAAACCUCAACAACACUGGUGGAGUUGGAGAUCAUGCAUACAGCCCUCUGCACCUUCGCAAGAUCACCACCUGGAACAACAGUUGGGGCCUGGUAGUUGAUUCCACACUUGAACCCAGUGGGGCACCAGUCAACAAAUUGAAUGGUGCGCUUAGUCUUGAUAAUGCCCACAGCUGCAUUAACAUCUUUAGGCACCACAUCACCUCUGUACAUGAGACAACAAGCCAUAUAUUUUCCAUGGCGCGGAUCACACUUGGCCAUCAUAGACGAUGGCUCAAACGCGCUGUUGGUGAUUUCACCUACUGAUAGCUGCUCAUGGUGAGCCUUCUCAGCUGAAAUCACGGGAGCAUAAGAUGAAAGCAUAAAGUGGAUCCUGGGGUAUGGCACUAGAUUGGUCUGGAAUUCAUUAACAUCAACGUUCAAGGCACCAUCAAACCUCAGGGAAGCAGUCAGUGAGGAUAUCACCUGAAUAUACAGGGAGAAACUUAAGGCACAGCAUAUCACAACACAACAGUUAUUUCAAAUCCUUGUGAUUAAAAAUACCUGAGAAACUAAACGAUUGAGGUUAGUGUAGGUUGGCCUCUCAAUGUCAAGGGAACGCCUGCAUAUGUCAUAAAUGGCCUCGUUAUCAAGCAGCACAGACACAUCUGUGUGCUCAAGCAGGGAAUGGGUGGAGAGAACACUGUUAUAAGGCUCAACAACAGAGGUUGAAACUUGGGGUGAAGGAUAGACAGUGAAACCAAGCUUUGACUUCUUGCCGUAGUCCACAGAAAGGCGUUCCAACAACAGGGAACCAAGACCGGAGCCAGUGCCACCACCUACAGCAUUAAAAACCAGAAAGCCUUGGAGACCAGUACAGUUGUCAGCAAGCUUUCUGAUGCGGUCCAAGCAAAGCUCAACAAUCUCCUUCCCAACUGAACCAAAAACACCCUUCUUAGAAUCUGAUAUUCAAUUCAUUAAAGUAAAAUAGCAAAAGAAUUAAUAUGUGAAACACAUAAAUGAAAGGAGCAGCAUUACUGGUAUAGUGGCCACGAGCGAAGUUAUUUGCCGCAUCCUCCUUGCCGCUGAUAAGCUGCUCAGGAUGGAAUAGUUGGCGGUACGUUCCUGUCCUAACUUCAUCAAUCACAGUGGGCUCAAGAUCUACAAAAAUCGCACGAGGCACGUGCUUUCCAGCCCCAGUUUCGCUGAAGAAGGUGUUGAAAGCAUCAUCGCCUCCUCCAACGGUCUUAUCACUCGGCAUCUGGCCAUCAGGCUGAAACAGCACGAAUGCACCACAGAUUACAUCUAAAACAAGUGCAAGAUAACACAAACAUGGAUAAAUUCGGUUUAGAAUUCGUGCCAUUUUCUCUUCUAAAGUGUUACUAGUUUUCUUCUACCAGAAUUACAUUCAGAUUUCCAAUUCAAGGGGAAAUUAUCUAAAGAAAAUAAAAACAAAACUACUGCUUACUAACCAAGCCAUAUGUUUUUCUUCCAGAAAUUACUACCAGGGUGGAAUCCUGGAUGCAUUGCCAGCACAUAAAACAUAACAACUAACACAGAUUUGAAAUAGUUAAAUCUAAUUUUUCUUAGGUAUUUUCCAGUCAAAAAUUAAGUAUAACAGGAAACAUAAAUUAGGGAGACAAAACUUCAAUUAUGAUAGAGAAGUCAAAACCGAAAACAGUUACAGAAAUGAAUCGAAGUCUGUUGAUAGUUAGAAAUGUAAUGAUAAAUAUAAACAAAAUUUUUAAAAAUUUUAUAUAAAAUAGGCGUUAUCAUCAAACUUAAAUCUCAAAUCACUCGAACAAUACGGAGCCAGAAGAAAAUGUCCGGAAAAUACACAACGUACACGUGAACGUGGAAACAAAUCGGGCCAAAAUGAAAAAAAUGUUGGUACAAAAACAUAGAGCGCGUACAGAUCGGCGAAUCGGUGAAGCAAUACAGAACGAAACGCAAAUAAUAGACACAAACGACAAAAACGUGGUUGAGAUGCAGAGGAAAUGCAAACAGCGGAAACAGAUCGAGAUUGAGCAUGAGAGGAGAUAAUGUGUAAAGAAAGGGAGGGAUUAGGGUUGAGAAAUGAGACCUGAAUGCCGUGUUCAAGACAAUAAAGCUCCCAGCAGGCGUUUCCAACCUGAAUGCCAGCCUGGCCAAUGUGGAUUGAGAUGCACUCUCUCAUUGUUGGUGGCGUAGAAGGAAGAUCGAAAUGGAAAAGAAGGAAAGGGUUUCAGAGAUGAGCGUUUAUUAAGACGCCUCUCUGCUUCUCUGAUUGAGAUUUAGGUUGCAAUGAGAGAAGUGCUGUGGCGUGUGCGCUUGGUUUCGGUGUAUUUAUGGAAGCGGAGGGUAAGUGUUUAAUUGCGGUUAAUUAUUGGUUUAUUUUGCCAACGGUGGGGCCCUUUUUUUACCUUCAAAUUUUAAACUUGUUUCGUUUAUGCACCUUUCCCGGGUGCCAUUCUGGCCACGAAGCACCUCCAAUGUCCCACUCUGCAACGCACCGUUACGUCCAAACUUUAUUCAACUUUUCAUAUUCUUCCUUUUAAGUAACAUUCAAAUUAUUUUUUCCUACUAAUUAAAGAAUCACCUUCAACUUUCAUCUAACGUUAACCGUUUAUCGAAUCGUCAACUUUACAAAUAUUUAUUAUAUGCAACCAAUGUUUUCGGUAAACAGAUGCAAUCAAAUUUAAAAUUCUUAAUUAUAUUAAUUAAAUUGCUCACGUUAAUGUAUUUAUUACUUAGAUAUCGAUUUAACACUUAAUGUUUUUAAGUCUAUUUUUUAUCAGUACUUUAUUUUCACAGCAUUAAUAAUAUAGUAUAUUUAUUAAAUUUAAUUAUUAAAAUAUAAGUGUAUUAAGUAUGUGGCUUUUUUAUUUCAGUCUAUAUAAAAGUAUAUUAAUAAAAUUAAAUUAAUUUCUAUAAAUUCCAUAUCUCUUUAUGUACAUAAAUAUUAUAUUUUAAGACCAAUGUAUGAUAGAAAACGUUACAUGUAUAAAUAUUGUGUUAAUACUUAUCUUUAAAUUUAUUAAUUUAACUUAUCUAACUUCAAAUAUAAUUCAUGAAUAAUCUAUACUGUGUAUAUUUUUGUAAGGCAUUAUUUUUAAAUCAUACCACAUUAACGCUAAAUAUUGUAAUAACACAAAAAAUAUCACAAUAAUGGGAGUAGAAAUAUUUCAAAAUUAAUGGUUUAUUAAUGUGUAGGCAAAUUCAAAAAUUCGUAUUAUUCUAAUUUUGUUAAUAAUUUUAGAUAAAAUUAAAAAAAAAGUGAUCGGGUAUAAACAUAAGUCUGCUUUAAUCUUUAUUGUACAAAGUAGUUUUAGGUACAAAUAUUGGCAUUAUCAACAUUCAAAAUUUAGGGAAGCACUAAAAUUUCCGACUUCUAGAGAUGCUGGGACUAAAACUAUUAAAAUUUAAUUUAUUCUUAAAAAUUAGAGGAUUAAAAAUUUACAAUUUAGCCUUAAAUAUCAUUAAUAAAUAGAAAUAGAUUUUGUAGUUGAGUUUUAAAUGUUUAGUAUUUUGUAUUCUUAUAUAAAAUAAAAAUCAUGCGUUGAUGUAAGAAAUUAUACCUAUUAAAUGAUAUGAUUGACCCUCUUAAAUUAUGAACGUUAGUGAGAUUUAUUGGGUUAUACUCUAUUUUUUAACCUCCACAGUGCUUUCGUCACGUAAAAUAUACAUGGUUGUUGCAUACAUGGGAUUGAAAUAAAGAGGGUAUAGAAGUAGUUGAGAAGGGGAAAUAUACCUUCACGUUAAAUAGAAGAAGAGCCAUCCGUCGAGUAUUUGUUCUAAUUAUCUUAUAUGAUUUUCAUAAAUAAAAUAGAAAUACAGAGAAAAAUACACAAAAGUUGGCUCACAAUAUAAGACAGUAAUUAUUUUAAAAAAAUAAAAAAUAGUUAAUCCUUUUUUAUUGUAUUAUUUGAAACAGGCAAAUAUUUAAUAUUAUUAUAAUUAAAAGCAUUAAGAUUUUAAACAUUAAAUAUUAAUUAUAAUGAACUAAUUUAUUACGUAAAGAUGAUAUUUUUUAUUUUUUCCAAUUAAAAAGAUUAAUCAAGUAAUUAAAUAUAAAGGUUUUUAAUAUAUAUAUAUAUAUAUAUAUAUAGAUAUAUAUAUAAAAUAAAGUUAUAAAAAACUGAAAGAAGAAAUCAGGAUUUCCAAUUCAUUUAACUAUGACGAAGUGGUUUAGUUGUUAGGAUGAAAGUCUUGCUUUCAAGGGGAUUUCAAUAAUUGAAUUUAUGAUUUGAUACCAAACCCCGUGCACCUCUGUGACACCAAAAAGAUUCACAUGCACCAACGUAUGAUGUUUUUAAGUUCUUCAUGUCCAAUGAGUUGUCUAAGGAAAAAAAAGUUGUUUUAAUAACAUUUUUAACAAUAUUAAUUUAGUGUGAUUCAUCUGUUUCAAAUAUUAUUUUAAACAUAAAUUUAAAUAGAUCAAUAAAAUAAUAAAAUGUAUUCUAUUAUUAAAAAAUUAUCAAAAUAUUAGAAUCUUUAUUUAAAGGUUUAAAUCAUUUUUUGGUUCUUAAGUUAAGUUCUGUUUAGUUCCCGUUUUUUAAAAUGUUAACCUUUAUUCCCUAUAAUAUUUAAAAUGUAUCAAAUCAGUCCUCAUGACAACACUUAAUGAACAACAAAUCACAAGUUUUCAUACCUAGGUAUCCAAUAUAUUUUGUGAUUUAUUAACGGAAGGUGUUAUGAACAACAAAUCACUUAAUGAAAAACUUGUGAUUUGUUAUUCAUUAAGUGUUGUCAUGAAGACUGAUUUGAUACAUUUUUCAUAUCAUAGGGACUAAAGGUUGACAUUUUAAAAAACGAGGACUAAACUGAACAUCAGAACUUAACUUAGGGACCAAAAAAGGAUUUAAACCUUAUUUAAACGAUGCAUCUAAAUUACAAUUGGACAUUCUUAACGUUCAAAUACCUUUUUGCCCCAAAUCUUAUUUACAUAAAUAUUCUUUAAACAAACUUUUUUUAAUUCUAAUUGUAACGUGAUUAGCUACUCUAUCUUAUAACUAUAAUGUUUGGGGAUUUUUUUAAAAAAAUUUUCCAUAAUCGAAACUAACCACGCUAGUGGCAGCACAUACACUAAAGUUAUAAUUUCACAAAAAUGAACCAACACGGGAUCAUUUUUUGAAACUGACACUUGAAGCAAUUAAUCGUUAGAUGCUACAUUUUCUUAAUUCACUCUCUAUGCUUACUAUUUGCAGCAUUUUUCAUUUUUUCUCAUCUCGGUUUGUGAGUGUUCUUUCAAAAGAGCUUCAAGCUCUACGGUGAAAAUAACAAAUUAAUCUCCUCGUGGCUAUUUACAAUUUUCAAAGGGUACAGGGAGACUCGGUUUAUUUCUAAAGAUACCUCAAAGCAUUUCCUAAUUAGAAAUUUUAAUCAUUAAUUAUACCUAUACAUUAUUCAAUGUUAUAUGAUAGUUGUGGUAUGAUAAUAAUGUAAAACUAUUUUGCAAUAUCAUUUAGUAGUUUUUCUUUUAUACUAAACGUCUUCUUUAAGAGAAACAUUAUUUUAUUUCAAAUCCUCAAUUUAUAAUCCCUAACACUUUUAUAUACUCAAAAUAAGUCCUUAUAAUCAUUAAGUUAAAUAACAUGAUUCUAAAUUAUUACAAAUUAUAAUAAUUGUGCAAAAAUCAAUACUAUCUUAACUAUGGAUUAUAAAUUAUAGCAUUUCUAUGUACAUCGUUUUUACAAAAAAAUCCUUCAAAACAAAAACAAACAAUGAAAACUCUUACAUCAUCAAUUUUUGGAAGUCUUUUCACUUCCAAUGCCACUCUAAGAGAAUUAUCAUAGUACAACCAUAACAUUAACACAACAAAAUAUAAAUGGGUGAGCUAAUAAAUAUAAUGUUUAUUGGUGGUAUUUAUUUGUUUACGGCCCACUCCAGUACACUUCUAAUAAGUCUUUCUUUUCAUUGAUCUACCAAAUGAUUGGAAUAAAAAAAAUGUGUCCUCGAAGUUCCGUUCCCUUCUUUAAAGUGACUUAGGAUUAAGAUCACAAUGGAUUUGUUGCAAGGUUUUAAUUAAUUCCUAAAUAUAUUUUAUAAUAGCAUGAAUCUUUACAAUAUUUUUAAUUGUAGAGUAUUUCAAAUAUUUUAUAGGUUUAAAUCAUUUUUUGUCCCUAAGUUAAGUUCUGAUGUUCAGUUUAGUUUCGGCUUUUAAAAAUGUCAAUCUUUAGACCCUAUGAUAUGAAAAAUGUAUCAAAUCAAUCCUCAUGACAUUUUUCAUAUCAUAGGGAUUAAAGGUUGACAUUUUUAAAAGCGAAAACUAAACUGUGAACAUCAGAACUUAACUUAGGGACCAAAAAAGGAUUUAAACUUAUUUUAUAUUAGUUAUAAAUUACUUAAUUUUCACAAUUUGCAAUUUAAUGAAUAAGUUAAAAUUUAACCCAACUUGUUAGAGUAGGUCAAAUCAACAUAAUUUUGGUUCAGUAAGACAUUGUUUGAUCUAGUCUAAACUUGGUUAAAUCUAUUUAUUGAUGGGAUCUUGAUAUUUUAACAACUCUUUUAAACAAUUUUUUAACAACGGAACACCUGUCGUCACUUUAUUGGUCUGUUUAAAUUUAUAUUUGAAAAAAUAUUUGAAACAGACCAAUCACAAGGUAUCACGUAUGCGUUGUCAAAUAAGAGUUGUUAAAAGAAUACUUUCCUUAUUGAUGUAUGACAUUUAUUCUUUAUUUCUUGAUAUAAGAGCAUUUUCUAUGCUAAUUAUUAUCUUUAUAACAUACAUUUAGAAUCUUUUAAUAAAAACAUAGCAUAAUUCAAUUUAUUAAAUUUGUUGCAUUUUUUUCAUAAUUUUAGUGAUAAGGUAUAUAAUUGUCAAGACCAUUAAAUUCAUCAAAUAGUGGGAUCCAGGUGUGCAUGACAGAGUGGACCGAUAAAUUUUUUACGGUAAUGGGAAUUUUUAAAACAUCAAGCCACUUUUUUGCAUGCACCUUCUUCCCCGAGUUUCUAAAUUUCAUUUUGUCCUCCUUUUCUCUAAAAUCCUUAUUCCUUCUCUCUACAAAUUCUCAUCUCCUUCUACUUCUGAUCAACAAUCAAGCCACACCUGAGCUUUCUUCGUGUUAAGGGCUUUCAUUUGCACCAAUCAAGUCGUUGUUUUGAGUUGGUAAGUUCAUUCUCUUCCUAAGAAACUUGUUUCCAGGCACAUGCAAGCCAAAGUUUUGGUUGCAUGUGUUCAUCAGUUUCAUCUUCACAAAUCCUGAUCAUGUUUUGGUUUUUUGAUUGAUCUUUCCUUAUUAUUCGGUGGGUUAUAGGUAUUCUAGAAAAUGUUGGUGUUUGGUGGACAUAUUCUGCUAUUGAUUAAGUAGUUGUUCUGUUAAAAAUGUAAGAAAAGCUUGUAUAAUUUAAUUAUGAUUCUCUAUUUUGAAUGGUUGUAUGUUUGAAUGGUAUUUUGUGUAGUUAUUUGAUGGAUAUGAAAUAUUGGUGUUACUGCAUGUUCGCCUGUAUGUGUGGAUGAUUGAUAAAUGGCGUGAACUGGGUAGGAAUAGGGCUUGAUCAUAAUUCUGCAGUAUUCUGCAAAAUUAUUACUUAUCGUCGAGAGUCAUUUGUGACCAUUCGGUCUGUUGUGUGUGUUUGGUCAUAACUGAAUUCCUCUUUAGUAGAAUUUCAGUUAUUGACCGAUCGGUCUUGUAUUAUAUAAAAUUGAAAAUAAGCGUUCGGUCUAGGUAUUGUUUUCUAUUUCUAAUUAGUAGUCAGCUUGUAUAAUGCCUUUAAGAGAGUUUAAGUCUUAGAUACUAUAAUUGUUUUUAGUUUGUUCACAAUGUUCAGUUAAUUCAUAGAAUGGUCCUAUUUAUACAUUUCGUAUAUGUUUAGAGUGUUUGGUCUUGUACUAGCACUCAGUUCUUUAGAGUGUUCGGUCUUGUACUAGCACUCGGUUCUUUAGAGUGUUCGGUCUUGUACUAGCAAUCGGUUCUUUAGAGUGUUCGAUCUUGUACUAGCACUCAAUUCUUUAGAGUGUUCGGUCUUGUACUAGUAUCCGGUUCUUAGUAUGUUCGGCUAAUAUGAGUAAGUAUUCAUUAAUAAAACGUUCGGUUAUAUUAUCAGUGUUCGGUCCCAGCCAAAACUGUUCGGCCUAUACUCAUAGUGUUUUGUCCAAGCCAUUAGUGUUCGGUUUAAGGUAAUAGUAUUCGGCAUAAGCCAAUAGAGUUUGGCCUAAGCUAGUGUUCGGCCAAAGUCAAUGGUGUUCGUUCUAAAUCACAAGUGUUCGAUUUAGCUUUAGAAUUUAGUUGUUCUGAUAUUCGGCUUGAAAGACGUUCGACUCGUGCUUGAGUUUUACUCUUUACAUGACCGUUCGAUCAUGUUCACUUAUAGGGAAUAGUAUUUGUUCGGUAUUGCUCAUAGAUUAUGUUAAGCUUUCCAUUCGGUCGUACACAAUGGUGGUGAUUGGUUUACUAUUCAAUUCAACUUUACUCAAAUAUAUUAUGGAUGUUGAAUUAUGUUGGUAUUUUAUUUCAAAUUUGUAUGGAAGAGAAUUCCGAGGAGAAAUGUCUCGGUGAAUGGAUAUUGAAUUGGUAAAGUAUGAAUAUGGAUAGUGAAAUUCACAGCGCUCAUCCUAAAAUUCUAAUAAUUAUCAAUUCUCAAGUAGAGAUGGGUAAGUCAUUUGGUGAGAAUGGUACGAGGCCCUAUAAUCUAAGGGGAGACCUUAGGUGAGGUAUAACGGGCUAACCUCGAGUGGCAGUUGAGGGGUUUCCAGUUACUACACACCCAGGUGCAAGAACAGCUACAAACUACAUAUUCAUACAAUCCGGAUAGUCAAGUCAAGGAGUUGGUCAUUGUAUGUCAUGUUUGGUAAUUGCUUGAAUUAUAUAUGUAUGAUGGUUGAGUGUUACAAAGGUUUGAUUGAAUAUAUGAUUGUUUAAGUUCUUUUGAUUAAUUAAAUUACACUACCUUACCCUACUUUCCUGUCUUAUCUUAUGUUGUCCAUUGGAACAAGCAUUGGAAAGCGAGAACCCUAAAGUUUAGUUUAGGAUAAUUCAGUCAUUAGGCUUAGUUUAUCUUUAGUAAAACCGUUCGGUUUAUAUAGGUUUUUAUAUAAUCGUAUUGUAUGUGAUACCUUUGUACCAUCUUUCGGUUUAAGAGUAGUUGUGGAAUCGUUCAAUUUGUUCUAUGUUUUGUAUCAGACUUAUGAUAUUUUGUAAAGUUUUAAAUGAUUUGAGGUAUUUUAUGAUAUUUGUAAAUCUUAUUUAAUUCUAGUAAGUAUCCUAUAAUAUUAUUAUAUGUUGACUCCUUUAUAUAAUAUUAUGCUAUAUUUUUGAGAUGUUACAACGAUCAUCCACCUACGUUCCAUUUGUUUUUCUUUUAGAGAAACGUAAUUCAAAAUUAUUUAGUAUAAAAAAAUUGAAGGAAAUCAAGAUUCAAUCUUGUGAAGCUCAUUGGAGAUAUAGAUGAUGAACAAUUCAAUCAGAGUUUCAUUUCUCAUACUUAAUCACACAUCACGUUUAUAUCUCACCACCCCUCCAACACAUUGCAAUCAUUAUAGAAUCAUCUAAUUUACUUUUUAUUUUUAUUUAUUUAAUAUUACACUCACAUUUUAAUUAACAUAUUCAACGUUAAUUCCAUGUGCAUUCAAUUUUUUUCAUCAUUGGGUUUAAAUAAAUUUUUAACUUAAUUUAAGUUUAUAUUUAUUUUGUCAUCUUUUUAAGGCAAUCAUUCAAAUAAUUCUAGUUAUCUUCAUCUAUUUAUGGUUCUUGUUUCCAAUUUAAUUCAACAUUUUAGAGAUAUUUUCAUUCACUUUUUUCCAUUUCUUUCGAUUUCUUGUAUUUAUUAUAAAUUGAUGCUUUUUCUUUUUAAAUUGUUUGAAACACUCGGAUUUUCUUUAUUUUAAUAAAUUCUAGUAAUUUAAAUUUGGGUUAAAUAUGUUUUUAGUCCUUAUAUUUUGGAGUGAUUUUGGUUUUAGUUUCUCUUCCAAAUUAAGGUACAAUUUAGUCCUUCAACUUUAAAAAACUCUGGUUUUAGUCAUUUUUACCAAAUUUUUUUAACUUUAUUUGUUAUUUCAAGCACGUCUCAUUAUAGCAUUUAGAUUGUUUACACUGUUUGACACAUUUUUGCUUCAAUGUUAACUGAUAAACACGUUUGAAACAGCAAAUAAAGUUAAAAAAAUUUGGUAAAAAAGACUAAAACCAGAGUUUUGUAAAGUUGAAGGACUAAAGUGUACUUUAGUUUGAAAGAGAGACUAAAACCAAAAUCGUCCCAAAAUAUAAGGAGUAAAAACAUAUUUAACCCUUUAAAUUUUUAUUAAUUUGUUUCAAAUUAUUUAUCAUUGUUUCAUAAUUAUAAAAGAAAUAAAAUAACAAAGUUAUAGCUAUUUAAAUUUUUAUUAUUUUAUUCCAAUUUAUUUUAUCACUCUUUUAUUUUAUAAUUAUUAAUCCAUUGUGAAACGAACCCCCUUUUUUACUAUUUGUUUAGAGAGAAUUAUGUAUAGUAAUUAGUACAUUCGAAACUGACUAUAUUGCAUUAAGUUUAGUUAACUUUUUAAUUUUUUUAAAAUAGGAAAUACCUAAAAAAAAUCAUUCAUUAUCUUGAGAAUGUUCUUUAAAUAUAAUUCUAAGUCUUCUCUUGAUAUUUAAAAUUUAAGAUCAUCAAACUUCAGUAAAAUAAGACUGAGUAAUUAGUUAUUUCAAAACAUAGAUAAAUAUCUAAGAAGUAAAAGUCUAGAGAAUUAGAAUUAACUACACCAAUCUUGAUAAUCUUGAUAUAAGAGAUUUUAAUUACUCGUAGAAAUGGAACCUGGUUAGUGUGUGUUUCCACUUUAUAAUAAUAAGUUUUUUAUUUUUUAUUAUUAUAAAUAAUUAGUAUGACGAUGUAUCUCUGAAUUAAAAUUGAAAAUAAUUACAUGUCAACCGAGAGUGAAUCUUAGAGAGAUUUUCAAAAUUAACGUAAAUUUAACAAGAGAUAUAAAUCAAUGUUAUUAAUUAUUUUGAAUAACAGUUUGUUAAAAUAAUUUUUUUUGUCCAAAUAUUUCAUCAUUAAAUAAUUACAUUAAUAAUGUAACUUUAUGAAUAAACUUUAGUUGAGUAAGUUAUCCCCUUUCCUUGUUGUUGACUAAACUUAUUAUAAGCUUACAAAAAUUUAUUUUUGUUUACAAAUAUCAGCACACUCGCACUUUAAAUGACUUCAUAUAUGUAGUCAAACAUAUUUUGAGAGUACUAUAUUAUUUCAUUUUGAUGUAGCAAGUGUCAUAUUUAUUCAUUGGGUUGUUCUAUUAAAAAAGUUAUUAAAUUAAUUAAAAUUACCGUCUAGCAAUAGGCUUUUAUAAUAUAGUAUAUUUUUUUCAAAAUCGUUUUAAUUUGUAAUUAGGAGUAUGGAUGUAAAAUAUAUUUACAAAUAAGAGAAUAUGAUUGGUGAGUGUAUAAGAGAUAUAUACAACAACAUAUUAUUAUAAAAUAAAAAAGUUAUAUACUUAUGUUGUGUAUUUAAGAUUACAACAUCAGACUAAAAAUGUCAAAAGAGACUAAUUGAUUAUGUUUGAUCUAGUUUAUAAUUGAUUCUGUUUGAUCUAGUUUAUCACAACUGGUUUAACUUAGUGAGUUAAUUUAACUUAUUUUAUUAAUUUAAAUAAUUUGAAUUUAACCUAAUUGACAUUAUUGAUGAAUGAAACGAGUUGACUUAAUUAAAAAUAUAACUAUUUUUAUUUAUUUUAUUUCUUUUUAAUUUAAUUGAAAUCCAAAAAUUUUAUGUCUAUUUUAUUUUCUUUAUUUUAGAAUAUAAAUAAAUCAUUCAUUUAAAAAACUAAAUCUUAAUUUUAAAUAAAGUCUAAAUAAUCUCAAAAGUCAAUGCAACAUAUUUAAUUGGUUUUUUCAUUUUGAUUUUUUUUUAUAAUGUUUGGGUUGGUGAAUUAGGUUUAACUCACGAGAACAAGUUCUUAGUAGAUUGGAUUCAUUUUUAUUCCGUACUGAAAUUUAACUCAACUCUUUGAAAUCCGUAAUGGAUCAAGUUAACUCAUUAAUUUUGAUCUAUUUUAACAGUUCUAAUCACAUUGUAUAUGAGGAAGUAUGUGUUAAUAUCAAAUUAUCUCAAAAGAACUAAAAAAAAAGAUGUAAUUUUUUUUUUAUACAAAUAUGAUAAAAAUAAAUAGUAGAAAAAAAAUUAAUAGAAAAAUAGAAGAAAAGGGAGAAAAAAAGAAUAAAAGAAUAAAAAAGAGAGAUUCCGACCCUUUUUUUGACGAUACCCCACUAUUAUUCUUUUUACACCUUAUUUGCUCGGACCAAUAGUCUAAAUCCAUUUCCCUAUCCACACCACACUGUUGUUCUUUUAUUCGUCAUUUGCAUAUUGGAGUUGUAGCCCAAGUCCAUAUUUAAAUACCCACACCAGUUUUGUUUUUCACACCUUGUCUUAUUAUGUUAAAAGUCCAUUCCACAUUUUUAUUAUUUAUACUACGAAAUUUUCCUUUUUAUUAUGGAGACACAUUUUCUACCUACACCUCCCUCAAUUUCUUUUCACUCGUUUUCAUUAUGGGCUAACAAGCCCAACACACUUCAACACCUAUACCACUCUUUUCUUUUUACACCCCUUUCUCAAUGGGCUAAUAAGUGUAAGAUGUUUUAUAUUCUCACUUCUCAUGUUUUUUCUUUUCAUCACUCUUGUAUUAAAUUUAUGGUCCAAUGCAAUGAAGUGAAACCAACUCAAGUUAAGUUUAUGUGAAGUUUAAUAGAGUUUGGGUCAUAUCAUAUCUAAUAAAGUCAAGCCAAUAUUGGAUCAAUUAAAAUUAAGGCUACAAUGAACUUUGUCAAGUCAAAUCAAGUUAGACCCAUCUCGAGCUUUGUUAUAUCUUUAGCCAAGUCGAAUUGAUGGAUUCAAUUGAGUCAAACUUACCCGUGAUUUAAUUAAACUGGACACAUCUCAAUGUAUAUUUGAGUUAUAACAUGUCCACUCUACUUAAGUUAAGUCAUGCACACCUUAAAUGGAAUUAGAUCAAAUCAACCUUAGGACAAGUUGAUUUGGAUCCAUUUUAAGCAUAAUAAGGUUGAGUUCACCUUGGAUGAAGUCAAUUUAGACUGAUGUAAAACAUAGUCGGUUGUAUAAAUAGAAAAAAGUUUAUAAAUAUGUCAAAACUUUUUGUUUUUGUUUUUAGUUAUAAAAAUAAAAAUUAAUAAAAUUAUGAAAUCAAAAAUUUAUAAAAUAAAUUUUUUUAUAAAAUUAUAAAAUUACCAAAUCACAAAAUUAGAAAAUUAUAAAAUCAUAAAAUUUUGAAAUUAUAAAAUUACAAAAUUAUAAAACUAUGAAACUAUACAAUUGUAAAAUUAUAAAAUUUUAAAACAAUAAAAUUAUAAAAUUAUAAAAUUGUAAAAUUAUAAAAUUGUAAAAUUAUAAAAUUAUAAAAUUAUAAAAUUAUAAAAUUAUAAAAUUAUAAAAUUAUAAAAUUUCUCAAUUUUGUUUUCAAGUCUUUUAUGAAUUGUGUAUCUUCUAUUCUUUUCAAACCCUUUAUCAGUUUUGUAUCCUCUAAACGUGAAUCACGACUUCUUUCACUUUUUUCUACUAAAUUUUUUCACUAGGUUAUCAAAAUUUAUGUUAAUUCUCUUUCAUAUAAACAAGAGGCAUAUUAAAAAAAAGUAAUGGUUGCAAGUAUUACAAUUCUUGAAAUCUUUUGGAAGUGUUUUUAUGUUUGUGUCCUCUUCCUCACCCAUGGAAAAUAUGUUAUUACGAAAAAGUUUAUUAAAACAUUAAAUUAUAAUAGUCAAAAUGUUAUUUUUUUUACUUAUUUUGUUAAAAAACAUAACUACUUUUGUGUCAAAUAUCAUCAUUUCUCUGCCUUCAAAGUGUAGGGUGCCUAAUUUAAUAUACAGUAGGUUUUUCAACCUAACUCUAUGCAUAAGACAUUAAGAGUUUCAUAGUCUUGGAGGAAAAAUAGUAUACAGAAGGAAUAAACAAAUUGUUAAAAAUCAUUCACCACAUCUACUUCCUUUUACAUCUUUGUCUUGCUAUCAUACAAAUGUUUCAUUUUUCUACAUAGCCUAGACUCCUCUUCUAAAAAUCUAAAAAUAAUUAUUCUUUUAAACUCUAAAUAAUCUUAAAAAAAGUUUUUUUUUUUAAACUUUAUUUUUUCAGUCAAGAAGUAACUUUAUUUUAUUAAUGCUUCCUAUUUUUUAAUAUCUUUUUAACCUACUUACCUAUUCUUCCCAUGUUCUCUCUUUCUUUCAAACAAAUGAUAAGAGUACCGUUUUUUAUUAUUCAAGAAAUUAUUGUACAUUUCAUGUCUUUAAAAACUACGAAUUUUUAUUUAUUUACAGCUCUUUGGUUUGUAUUUUUCAUUAUUAGUUUUUUUUUUAUCAUAUUAGACUGUAAUUUUAGAAAUUAAUAAUUAAAAAACUUUGAGGUUUCAAUCACAAUUCUUCUAGAAUGUUAUAUAACAAAGAAUGUAUUGGAUAAUUAAUUUAUAGAGUACUAGCCAGAUCUGUGCUUGUUGUUUCUCGUAAAAAGUUAUACUUUUCUAUUGAAUGUGAAGGAGAAACAAGAAAAUAGACAAACUGAGUCACCGAUUUUUAGAAUUGUCUAUUUUUCCUCCCACUCCCACUAAUGUUAUUGAAUGCCGAGGCACAUGCGUGCUUUGUAAAUUGGUAGGUAAAAUUCCAUCACAAAACAAAAUGGUACUACAAAUAUAAUUGUUCAUAUACCUCAAAAAUAUUUACCCCUUAUUUUAGAAAAGCUAGUUUUAUUUAAUACUAUAUUUCUUAUCUUUCAGAAAGUUGCAUUCUCUAUUGUGUUUCUUUUACCAUCGUGGACUAUGGUAAAUGAUUACUUGGUAAGCAACAUAGUGUUGAUGAGAAGGAUAUGCGCCACGCAAAUGAUUGCCAAAACAAUCAUGCAGAAACACUCGUGGAUAGUUUGCAUGAUUUCUGGGUUCCUUUUAUUCUAUCUUAUCUUUUACUUAAAAGAAUUUUUUAGUUUUGCCUGAAAAUGUUCAAAUUAUCAUCUCUUUUGGUCUUCGGAUUCAUGGUUGUGACCCACAAUGCUGGUUAUGUCUGCCACUGUCCUUCUAUAACAGUCCUCACUCCUCAUUCGCAGCAAAAUUAUUAAUAUUAGCUUCCAAUGUCUUCUCAGCAGAGACCUAUCUCCCAAGUAUUAUUGAGUAUUUGUUUCUAAAAUACGUUUUUUUUUUUGGGUCAAAAAUUCGAAUGGUGUAAAAUAGAGCAAAGGGUGGGGCUGUGGCUGUGGAAGUGGACUUACGUUAAGGGCAAACUGCUUUAUUCGUAUUAUUGUUGGAGCCAUGUGCACCUAUCAACUCCACCCAGUCUUCACUUCCUCUUUCUCUCUGUCCUUUUUCACACACUAGAGAACCAAUUCAAAUAAAACGGAGUCUAAAGUUUGCAUCACAAAUCUUCAACUUUGUAUAAAACUAAGUUCAAAUAAAUCUUAUAGGAAAAAAGUUUCUUAGCUUUAACUGUUGCAUUGACUUUGUUUAAGAACAAUAAAGUUACAUUUGUACGUACUUCAAUGUUUUUUUCUCUGUUUUUCUUAUAUUUGCAGACAUGUUCAUUUAUGAGGUAAUAUUUAGAAGUGUAAUAAUUAACUGAAAAUAGUAGAAGCAUUAUUUGGUUUGGGUUUGGUUGAAUUGAAUAAUGAAGGUAGAAGAGUUUGCCUAGAGUUAUGGAAUAUGUAAUAGAAUGCAGAGCAGAUUAUAAUUAGUGCAGCUCUCUGCAGAAUUAAAUGAAGUCAAAGAAGAGUAAUGAGAUGAAACAAUGAUGAAUAUGAAAAUGGUGUGGGCUACCACAGGGAUAAUCAAUCAUCCCAACUACAAUACACAAUUGUACUUUUCAUUCUUUAUCAACUGCUUUUAUUGCAGGUACCUAAACUACCAACAAUUUUUCCAUUCUACCACUACUCAGAUCAUUUCCAUCAUAUUUUCUUUCUUUUCUUCUUUUAACAACAUUAAUGGCAUGUUAUACUAAACUAUUCUCACAUACAUUUUUUUUAAGACUUUAUAUUCAAAACAAUUUAAAUACAUAUUAUUUUAUCUAAUUGUUUGAGACACUUUUUAAAUAUAAAACCAACAAAAAAUUUAAAUUUCAUAAUAAUCGAUCUUAAACCCUAAAUUGUCCCUAUAAUGUUUUUAUUCUUUUAAAUAAGCAAAUGAUACUUUACUCUUUCUAUUUCUUCUCUCCCCGUCUCAGUCAAUUACUAGCUAUUAAAGAAUGUUAUUUAUUUUCUCAAUUUGGAAAAUCUUUUAACUUUUUUUCUUAUUAUUCUGUGUAUUUACUCUUGUUCAGCUAUUAUUCAGAAAUUCGUUCCCAUUAAUUUUCAUCCAAUGUACAUCCUUAACAAAAAUAACUCAGCUCUAUAUGAAUAGUAUGAAAUAUUGAUUUGGAUGGAAUUGAAUCUAAACUUUUCAAGCAAUGUCUCAUAUUUAAUUUUUUUAGGUAAAAAAAAAAUAGGAAAACCAAUAAAAUUAUCGGUACUACUUCAAAUAUUGUUUAUUUCCUUUCGCUUGGUAUUGUCAUUUGGUGCAUCUCUUCUCUUGCUCAAUGAUUUGUUACAAAUUCUUUGGUACUACCUCCAAUCAAACUUUAGUACGAACUAGAACAAUUCUAUCAGUAGCAUAGCAAUGACUAAUAGGACAUAAAUAAUUUUUUCAUUUACCAUAGCAUAAUAUAAAACCUUACAGAAAAAAAAAAUUAAAUUGAGUAUAAUUAAUGAAUUAAAUAUUUUAGCGAUAAUAACCCAUGGGUGUAUCAGCGUGUAUAUCUGGUAUUAACUUUCUGUGAGUCUUUUAAAAUUUUGAAUAGUGAAAACUAUGUUAAUCUCAUAAAUUCCUUUAGCAAUGAAAUUCCCUGUUCAGAUCUUUCUACACAUAAACAAAAGGAGUGAGAUCUUUUAACAACAUUGAAUCUCAAAAGAAACAUAAGACAAAUAAAAACCAGUGAAAGUAACAGAUAAGAUCAAAGUUAAAAACAGAGGAGAAUAUAGUGGGUGAUAUGAUAUUAUAUUCGACAAGACAAUAGGUCCAACCAAACAGAAAACCUUUGUACAAAAAGUGCAACUCCCUCCACUGCUUCAUCUUCUUUUCACAGAUUUUGGGGUAAAGUUGUUUGUCAUUUUGGUACCGAAUUAGCUUUGCUGUCUUUCAAGUUUCAACACAAACAAUUUGAAUUUGAAAGCCAUGUCGAGGUGCUUUAGUUUUAGAGUGAAAUAUUAUAUAGGAUUUUUCUUUCCCCCAGUACUAAACUCUCGGGAAUGAUUUAUCAUACAAUAGGUUGUAUUCAGUGUCAAGAUUCCAAAUUUCAGUUCCUCAAUCAUAGAGUAAUAAUGCACCAACGUUUGUUUUUUUCUCCUUAGGAUCCUUCGAAACCAUGUAUUCUUUAGAGGUUCCAUAUCCCUUUGUGUUGGAUCGACUAUAAAAAAAUAUGAUAUAAAUGUAGAACAUAAUAAGAAUGAUAAAUUAAUUUAUGAUAUAGUUAACAAAACAAACACUCUAAUGUAUACUCUCGCACCUUCUAAUCCCUUUUAAUCAAAACACCGCUUUCUCUUUCAUGCUUUCCGUAAAUUGACAGUAUUUAUGUUUGUGGUUCUUAAAGAAGUUAAAUUUGACUUGAAGCAGAACAAUUAAUGAGGAAAUAAGCUUGUUUAAAAAGGGGAAUUUGUGUGGAGUGAUCAAAGUUGGAUGUAAUUUAGGAAGGCAUGAUUGGUGGCCCAAAUGUUGCACUCCAUUGAAUGCCAUCACAUCUCAUCAUGAUGGUGGUAGCAAGCAAAAUCAAUCUGUCUGCAUGCAAUGUCGUUUUAAAAUUUGGUUUAAUUUCAGGAUCAAAAGGUUAUUUUAUUUAAUUUAAGUGAACAACCUUGUGUUUUGAUUUAGUCUAAUAUUAUAGAUCCUGAUUCCACAACCAACCCAACUGAACAGAGAGUGGAAUUUUGUCCUGGUUUUUCCCUUUAGGAAAUGGCAGGGGGCAGGUUGGCCCCAAUUUUUUUUAAUUUCACAUGCCUCUUUCUUUUCUCUCAGUUAUGACGCACCAACCAUAUCAAACCUCUCCUCAGCUAGCUAUGGUAGAUGCCUUGCUCAUCCCAGGAAAAGGGUUUUCCCACUUACCCUAUAUAUCUGUUACAACAAUAUAACAGUUUCAACUACCACAAAUGCACCCUCUCUCUAAUCCUAACAAACCAAUCUUUUCUAACGUCUGUCACGACUAAAACGUCCAUCCUCACCUUAUGCAUGCAAUGCAUUCCAACCAUACUUCAAAUCAUGGUCCACACUCCACAACCAGUUAUUGUGGCUUCACGCUAAGUUCCACAACUGUUACUCCAUUUUUAAGUUAUCACUUCCCAAACCUCCAACCAUUUCUUGUAUCUUCUUUUCAUAAAUUACAGCUGGUACCACGUCGUAGAACUUCUAAGGAACUAUCAUAUUACUAAAACUCAAUUAUAGAGUCUGCACACUUUUUAAUGGGUAUUACAACAUCUUAAUAUCAGAAGUUCAGACUCGGUUUUUUAUUUUAAGUACCACCGAAAUAAUAUCACAAUUUAAAAUUAGUAAAGUGUAAUUAUUCUUUCCCGUGUAAAAACCUCAUUGUGUAAACACACAAGGUUUAUAGAAAGCAAUUCUCUACCUAAAUAUAAGUUUAUAUUUUAUUUGUAUCAUAAAUAGAUAGUGUCCAUAAAGUUUUUUGUGUGACUCUAAAUUUUGAACGCUUAUUUGGUUAUUUUGUCAGUAUCAUUUCAUAAAUACUGUUUUGAAACAUGUACACAUUUCUUUCUUUAAUAUCAAGUGUCACUGCAUGUCUCUUUCACCCUCCUGUCAGUGGUACCCCAUAAAAGAACAAGACUUUCUCACGAUGCGUACACUGUUCCCCGGUGCAGGAUCAGAACAGCAAAAGGCCGUACCAUAAAACAAAGAGUGCUACAUGAUCAAGACAGAGAAUUUAUAUAACAAAAUACUCCCACCAAUCCUAAUGUACAAAUUGCAAACCAUUACUGUAAAGAAAUAUUCAAACAUUUAACACCUUACCAGAAACCCAACCCCAAAAAGAAGAAAAAAACUGAAGAAAGCAACUAGAUAAGUUAUCACAACCCAAAAGAUAAAAAUAUGAAACAUCCCAUUCCAAAACAUAUAUCCCUUCAAAUGCUCAGAAGAUCGGGUGGUGAAGACUGAGGAGGGCGUUGAUUAUCUUUAGGUUCCUUAGAUGCCGUUGUUGGAGACUCUAAAUUGUUUGAUGAUGAAAGAGAGGACUCCGUUAAGUCCCCCUGUUUAGAGCUUGGUGGCUUUGGAAGCUCGGUGAGAAUUUGAACAACUUCUCGCAUCGUAGGUCGCUCCACUGCCUGUUCUUCAACACAUAGCAUGGCUACAUAGAAAACAUGCAUCACCUCAUGGAGAGGAACUGAUGGAAGUCUAGGAUCAAGAACCUUUAGAACUCCUUCCUUGUUUGAAUCCGUCAUUUUCCUCACCCAUUGCACAAUGUCCACACCAUCACCAAACUCACCAACUGGUUUCCUGCCUGUUACAAGCUCCAAAAGAACAACUCCAAAGCUGUAAACGUCGCUUUUCUCGUCAACUUUUAACGUGUACGCAUACUCUGCAGUCAAAAUCACAAACUUAAAUCAAUGACCACGAACAGAAGCCACAUUAAUUGAACGCAAUUAACAUAAAAUGAAUGCUAAAGUCAUGCGAAUUUGUUAUCUAUUUACUUUGACGUACAAGUUGCCAGUUAAUCACCAUCUGUUUUCAAUUGUGAACAUCUUUAAUCUAUGAUUAAUCUAUGACUGCAGGACUUCCUAAUUAUAGGGUGGGGGCUACGAUGAAGACUCAAAUGACACACUCGGCUAAUGUUUGCAUUAAACAGUAAACAGUAUUUUGAAGCAAAAUAAAUUAGAGAACAAAUGACAGCGGUCGAUCUUAGUGUGCGACGAAAACGAAAACGAGUCAAGGAAGGCAACAUAUAACGUUUAUUACUUAAUUAGGCACAUAAAACGUCUAAACCAAACAACAGUGUUGAAACAGUUCGGUUCUACCCCUAAGCCAAUGAUGUUGAGGGACACGAGACAAGCNNNNNNNNNNNNNNNNNNNNNNNNNNNNNNNNNNNNNNNNNNNNNNNNNNNNNNNNNNNNNNNNNNNNNNNNNNNNNNNNNNNNNNNNNNNNNNNNNNNNNNNNNNNNNNNNNNNNNNNNNNNNNNNNNNNNNNNNNNNNNNNNNNNNNNNNNNNNNNNNNNNNNNNNNNNNNNNNNNNNNNNNNNNNNNNNNNNNNNNNNNNNNNNNNNNNNNNNNNNNNNNNNNNNNNNNNNNNNNNNNNNNNNNNNNNNNNNNNNNNNNNNNNNNNNNNNNNNNNNNNNNNNNNNNNNNNNNNNNNNNNNNNNNNNNNNNNNNNNNNNNNNNNNNNNNNNNNNNNNNNNNNNNNNNNNNNNNNNNNNNNNNNNNNNNNNNNNNNNNNNNNNNNNNNNNNNNNNNNNNNNNNNNNNNNNNNNNNNNNNNNNNNNNNNNNNNNNNNNNNNNNNNNNNNNNNNNNNNNNNNNNNNNNNNNNNNNNNNNNNNNNNNNNNNNNNNNNNNNNNNNNNNNNNNNNNNNNNNNNNNNNNNNNNNNNNNNNNNNNNNNNNNNNNNNNNNNNNNNNNNNNNNNNNNNNNNNNNNNNNNNNNNNNNNNNNNNNNNNNNNNNNNNNNNNNNNNNNNNNNNNNNNNNNNNNNNNNNNNNNNNNNNNNNNNNNNNNNNNNNNNNNNNNNNNNNNNNNNNNNNNNNNNNNNNNNNNNNNNNNNNNNNNNNNNNNNNNNNNNNNNNNNNNNNNNNNNNNNNNNNNNNNNNNNNNNNNNNNNNNNNNNNNNNNNNNNNNNNNNNNNNNNNNNNNNNNNNNNNNNNNNNNNNNNNNNNNNNNNNNNNNNNNNNNNNNNNNNNNNNNNNNNNNNNNNNNNNNNNNNNNNNNNNNNNNNNNNNNNNNNNNNNNNNNNNNNNNNNNNNNNNNNNNNNNNNNNNNNNNNNNNNNNNNNNNNNNNNNNNNNNNNNNNNNNNNNNNNNNNNNNNNNNNNNNNNNNNNNNNNNNNNNNNNNNNNNNNNNNNNNNNNNNNNNNNNNNNNNNNNNNNNNNNNNNNNNNNNNNNNNNNNNNNNNNNNNNNNNNNNNNNNNNNNNNNNNNNNNNNNNNNNNNNNNNNNNNNNNNNNNNNNNNNNNNNNNNNNNNNNNNNNNNNNNNNNNNNNNNNNNNNNNNNNNNNNNNNNNNNNNNNNNNNNNNNNNNNNNNNNNNNNNNNNNNNNNNNNNNNNNNNNNNNNNNNNNNNNNNNNNNNNNNNNNNNNNNNNNNNNNNNNNNNNNNNNNNNNNNNNNNNNNNNNNNNNNNNNNNNNNNNNNNNNNNNNNNNNNNNNNNNNNNNNNNNNNNNNNNNNNNNNNNNNNNNNNNNNNNNNNNNNNNNNNNNNNNNNNNNNNNNNNNNNNNNNNNNNNNNNNNNNNNNNNNNNNNNNNNNNNNNNNNNNNNNNNNNNNNNNNNNNNNNNNNNNNNNNNNNNNNNNNNNNNNNNNNNNNNNNNNNNNNNNNNNNNNNNNNNNNNNNNNNNNNNNNNNNNNNNNNNNNNNNNNNNNNNNNNNNNNNNNNNNNNNNNNNNNNNNNNNNNNNNNNNNNNNNNNNNNNNNNNNNNNNNNNNNNNNNNNNNNNNNNNNNNNNNNNNNNNNNNNNNNNNNNNNNNNNNNNNNNNNNNNNNNNNNNNNNNNNNNNNNNNNNNNNNNNNNNNNNNNNNNNNNNNNNNNNNNNNNNNNNNNNNNNNNNNNNNNNNNNNNNNNNNNNNNNNNNNNNNNNNNNNNNNNNNNNNNNNNNNNNNNNNNNNNNNNNNNNNNNNNNNNNNNNNNNNNNNNNNNNNNNNNNNNNNNNNNNNNNNNNNNNNNNNNNNNNNNNNNNNNNNNNNNNNNNNNNNNNNNNNNNNNNNNNNNNNNNNNNNNNNNNNNNNNNNNNNNNNNNNNNNNNNNNNNNNNNNNNNNNNNNNNNNNNNNNNNNNNNNNNNNNNNNNNNNNNNNNNNNNNNNNNNNNNNNNNNNNNNNNNNNNNNNNNNNNNNNNNNNNNNNNNNNNNNNNNNNNNNNNNNNNNNNNNNNNNNNNNNNNNNNNNNNNNNNNNNNNNNNNNNNNNNNNNNNNNNNNNNNNNNNNNNNNNNNNNNNNNNNNNNNNNNNNNNNNNNNNNNNNNNNNNNNNNNNNNNNNNNNNNNNNNNNNNNNNNNNNNNNNNNNNNNNNNNNNNNNNNNNNNNNNNNNNNNNNNNNNNNNNNNNNNNNNNNNNNNNNNNNNNNNNNNNNNNNNNNNNNNNNNNNNNNNNNNNNNNNNNNNNNNNNNNNNNNNNNNNNNNNNNNNNNNNNNNNNNNNNNNNNNNNNNNNNNNNNNNNNNNNNNNNNNNNNNNNNNNNNNNNNNNNNNNNNNNNNNNNNNNNNNNNNNNNNNNNNNNNNNNNNNNNNNNNNNNNNNNNNNNNNNNNNNNNNNNNNNNNNNNNNNNNNNNNNNNNNNNNNNNNNNNNNNNNNNNNNNNNNNNNNNNNNNNNNNNNNNNNNNNNNNNNNNNNNNNNNNNNNNNNNNNNNNNNNNNNNNNNNNNNNNNNNNNNNNNNNNNNNNNNNNNNNNNNNNNNNNNNNNNNNNNNNNNNNNNNNNNNNNNNNNNNNNNNNNNNNNNNNNNNNNNNNNNNNNNNNNNNNNNNNNNNNNNNNNNNNNNNNNNNNNNNNNNNNNNNNNNNNNNNNNNNNNNNNNNNNNNNNNNNNNNNNNNNNNNNNNNNNNNNNNNNNNNNNNNNNNGAGAGCAUUGGUAGGGUCGUCGGUUAUGGAAGACGCUUUAAAAGAUAGAAGCGCACGAUAUUCUGAGAUGCGCGCAGCAUGGAGUGUGUGAGAAUGGAAGAGGAAAAAGAAGAAGAAGAAGAAGAGAGAACAGAGGAAGAGUCGCAUUUUGUGUGGGAAUGGAAAUGGAGAAAUGGAGAAAUGAAAAUGAAAAUGAAAAUGAAAAUGAAGAGGGAAGUGAGUUAAAGAGUGAGUGAGUGAGUGUAGAUGUUGUAUUGUGUGUUUGUUUGUAUGAUUGCUACUGAUCACUGAUCACUGACCCCUGACCAGUGUGAGUGGAUGAGGACUGAGCCAGUCUUCAGCCAUGCCCACCAGACCCUCCCAUCUUUAUCUCCUUCCAACACUCACACAUACACACAAUCUUACCUAUCUUCCUCUUUCUCUUUUUCUUUUUUAUUUUUCCACCUUUGCAAAAUCAUACCAUACCUUCACACUUCCAACGAUUGAAACAGUAUAUACUGUAACAACAAAUCAUUAGCUAAAAAUUCCAGAAAAGCUCUCCGUAGAAUACCUAUAGUAUGUCUACUGCAUGUUUUGAGGUUUGUGUUAGGUAACUCAUUUAUGAAUUGUUCUGUUGUUGUACUAUUAAACAAAUUUUAGUUUGUCCUUUCUAAUUCUAUCGCUGUCCUUUAAUGCUCACGCAUUUAUACAUUUCUCACUUUAUGUUUAUAUUAUUUUAAUUGGCUAAUUACGGUUAGUGUAGUCUUCUUUUCUAGAAUUUUUAUUAUCUCAUCGUGGACAGAAGUACGUGAAGAAAACUAUAUAUAUAUAUAUAUAUAUAUAUAUAUAUAUAUAUAUAUAUAUAUAUAUAUAUAUAUAUAUAUAUAUAUAUUAUAGCCAUUUCCGAAGUGUCACAACAUUCAAGUUUCUUUCAACAAAUUUGGUUCCUUCUCGUGCCCAAGCUUUCGUCUAUGGUUUCUUUUGCAUGACAUAACCAAUCUAAUUUGGUAAUGACGAAUCACAUUAGUUUCAUAUUGGUAAUGAGUAAAGCGGUGUCAUGUUAGUACUAUACAAUUUCUAAAAUAUUGGUUUCGUUUUCAAACUUAAAACUUAGAAUAAGUGUUUUUAAAAUAAUUACUUCUUUAAGAAAUAAAUAGAAUUUUUUAUUAAAAAGAUUUAAAUAACUGUUUUAUUUUUAAAAUAAAAAUAACAUAUAUUAUGCUUAAAAUAUCAUAUACACACAUAAAACUUUUGUAUCUUUUACAAUAUCAUCUUUUCUUUGACUCCCUUUUCACAUAAAGGUCGGAUAAUAUGGAUGAUAAGAAAGAAUGAGUAACCAAGUACAUGAUUAUAGAAGAAAACAUGUUGAAGAGGGUUAAAAAGCUCAAUGUCCCAAUAGGAAUAAUAAAUAAGAAAAGUAACGUUAACAAUUAAGAUGGUUCUCAGCACAAUCACUAUACCCCCUAAAUGCUAGUAGGGACACUGUAUUAAAAGAAACAUGCAACCUGGAGCUUAUCCGACUCCCAAAACCUCAACUUCCUUCUUCCAACGCUAACCAAACAAGAAAGUACUCUUAUCACUAGAGUAUAGGCCACACCACAGACGAAUGUUGAUAUUUGAAGGAUCUUAUUGAAGACCUGAUAUGCUUAGGCACCCUAGCUUUAUUCAUCCAAUAUGGUAAUAAUGGUCGAGGCAGGGCACGAGGAGGAUGAGGCCGAGGAAGAGGACGCAAAAGCUUCGUAGGAUGAGACCGAGGACAAUCAGACCAACCUAACAUGGUGCUCCAAAUUCGAAGACCUUACUCUAAGUCCAACCAAGUUCAACAACUUGCUCUGCCUCUCAUGCAACCCAUGAUUCAAAGCCAUAUUGUCCAAUCUAACCCCCUCAGGCAAGGGGAAACGUUGUCGUUUGGAUAAAUUUUAACUAUUUAAUAUUUUUAAAUGUUUUCUUAUUGUUUGAAAUAAAUUUUAUUGAGUGAAACAUUUAUUUGAUGAAAUAAAUAAACGUUUUAAUUUUAUUUUAUGGUGAAAAAUAAAUACAUUUAGAAUAUGCACACACAAAGUUCCAAGCUUUUAGUAGUAUCUUGAAGGGGUGUUAUAAUCAGGGAGCGAUUAUAAUGUGUAAAUUUUCAAGACGCACCUGAUGUAGCAGGCCAAAUUAUUAGCAUUCUUGACAUUUAUGAUAUAUUUAUGGGCAUCUUUUCUCAGCCUAGGGUAGUAGUACCCGACUCUUACUACCCGUGUGGUCAUGCACCAAGUUCUAGAGUACAUGCACAUAAUCUGCUUGAUUGUUGGAUAAGUUAAGACUAAACUCAAUGACUUAUUCUAGAAUGAGGUUGUAGGGUCCUUCUAAUAUAAUCGGUAUGCCACUGCCUUUCUUGUUUGAGGACCCAUCAACACUUAAAGACUACCAUGUGAGUUGCUCGCCUUUAGUUAGUAGUUAAGUGAGGAAGACAGCUAGGAAUUGAGAUUUCAUAGGACCUUUGUUUGUUACGUAAGCUCAAACUCAAAGAGUUUUACCGACUAGGUAGUCAUGUGUCUUGCCAAUUCUGAAUUUUAUAGAAUUUUCUUAAUGGAAUAAUUUACACAAACACAAAUGUUGAAGUUGCAUAAGUAGUGUUGUAGCUGCCGAGCUGAAAAGAUAAGAGUUAGGAUCAACUUUUCUAUAGUUUGGUAUAUUUCCUUGGUGGGUUGGAGAGUUUGGCUUGUGAUUAUGACCAAGAUUAAAUUGAUUGUCGAGUGAGAUACAACUAGGUAUAAAGCUAGUGAUUUGGUUCAACUGGGGACAACUGAAUGGUGCGGCUAGAGAUUUGCACUAGAUCUGAGUCCUUGAUCGUUAGCUUCUGAUUGACCUCCUUGUAGAGACCAUCCUAAGUGUCCUUAUCAGUCUUCUCCUUGACUGCCUCCAAUUGUAGUAUUUUGAAGGCCUCUCAGUGCACUUCAUCAGGUAACCUUCGCCUUUAGAUUCUUAAGCUCAUUAUCCUUCUCUUAAAGUUUUUUCUCACUCUUACCCAAGCAAGCAAGGAACUCGAGCCUCUCCUCCUCACCUUCCAUGAGCUUAAUCAUCCAUUGGUCCCCUCAGUCAUAUAACCUUCAUAGAAGUACAUGAUGACCAUGUAUCGAGCCAUCAUGACCUUACUUGAGUACAUACAAAUCUCAAAGCUAGCCUUCUUUAGCAGUCAAAUCCACUACCUCGGGUAAUAUGUUCUUCUUGGCAGGCUCCUCGCCGGAAGAAGGAGCUGUAAGGCCUAAAGUCGUCUUUGCCACUAUUGUCACCACAACUUUUUGCUUCUAUGCAGGAACACUUUGUUGACUUUUUGUUUCUUAGCAGGAGAAGUCGUUAUAGGAUCCAACCUAGUAAACUUGGCCUUCUACUUCUUCACAUGGAUAGUUUGCCACGCCUUGUAAUCAAAAUCCUUCGAUGGCAUAAUCUCUGUAAACAAACAGGAAUACUAGAACUCCCACUAAGGUGAAAAUAAAAAAUUGUUAACCUUACCCUCGAAUAGAGUGGUAGGGUCCUUAGCAUGAGGGACACGUAACACAUCCAAAAAGUUGAUGGGCCACGGGAGUUUCCCGAUGAGCUCGAUACCCCUUUCCUACUCGGUGCUUAUCAAAUCAUCAAGCACCAAGUUGAACUUCUCAGGGUAGGACUAGUACAGAGGGAACCUUGGUGCCCAAGUACUGGGAAACAAGAAGUAUUUGAGCUCAACCUCAAGAGAUGAGGCCUUAAGUUUGAAAAUUUUGUUUUUGAAAGACUAGGUAUAGACUGUGAGUAAGGAAUCACACUAGCAUCGUUUAGAGAUACCCAGCAGACCUUGGCCACAUGCUUCAUUUGAUAGAAGAACAUGAACAUAUGGGGAGUGGGAGUCAAACCAAGUUGAUACACAUGAUUUUGAAAGAUUUCAUAAAACCCCAACUAUUGGGGUGAAAUUGACUAGGGGCCACAUAAAAGGUUGACAGAAGACCGCUAUAAAAAUUAAACAAAGGAAAAGAAAUGUUAAACUCUCCAAGAUACUUGUAACAAACAAAAGUAUCCUACUUCUCGCCAGGUUGAAAGAACACUUUAUCACUAAGAAAGCGAGGAAGAGUAGUGGGCCCGACAGGACAAAAGCCGAAAGUAGCUAAUAGCUUGGCUACCCUCGCCUUAGUAACAAACUCGAAAGCAUAGAAGACCACCUCGUCUUGAAUCCAAGAAUACCUACAAUCCUGUACGCCCUUUUUACUUUUAGCCACCUGCUUCUUCUUUUUCUUGAAAGCCAUAACUUUGACCCUGGAAGGCACCAUAGGAAGGGCGACAAAGAGGGGUUUUGCCAAGGAAACCUUCUCGUCAGAAGGAGGAGAAUCGAGAGACUCAUGGGAGUAAUGUCCCUUUCCAACAGGGAGCGAAGACGAUCACAACCAAUAUCCGAAGAAGAAUCAGAAGACAUACCUAAGGUGGUGAAUAGACUCAAAGAAAGGAUAGGAAUGGCAAACUCAGCGAAAAUAAAAUAGGCGCAAAGAUUGCAUAAAUAAGCAAAGAAUGAAGAAGGAAGGAAAUGCAAAGCAUCAACGAAUAUAAGGAAUUCAAGAAGGCAAAACGACCCCUCAAGCAUCGUUUCCCAAAGAAAUCGUUACGAUGUUUCAGAAAAACCCAUCAUUAAUGCUUUACGAUUACCAAUAAAGUUAUCAUCGACUCUUCAAGACGAGUUCUAAAGUCAGACUAAGUCAGUAGCCCAAAGUAAAGCUUGCUUAAGUCGACAUCUCAAAGUAAUGUUUGCCUAAGCUGACAACACGAAAGAAAAGCUUGUCUACGUCAACAAUCUUCACACCACAAGGGCUUGCUGAGGCCUAAAUCCACGGCCAAAUUAAUCAAACAACAAUAAGCUUAGCAUUAUCAAAUAAGACCACCAACAACUUGGUUAAAUGGUCAAUCCACCUACAAACACAAAGUCAACUACAACUUGAUCAAAGGGUUAGUUACACUCGCAACAAGCAUUCCUCAUACGUUAAUCAAAAUUCCAAGUUUGGGGGACUUAUGCACAUACACGACCCAACAAAUAUGCUAAGUAAUGCAGUCCAACAAGGCUUAUUCCACUUUACUGACCUAAAGUGGUUAAAAGAUAUUUUGAGAUAUAUUUGUUGGUGCAAAUAUUCAUAUAUUAAUAGUAUAACAGACUAAAUCUCAGUAGUUUGAUUGCAUAAUGAUAUUCCUUAAUAUCAUAUAUUUAUAGAAUAUUUGGUUUAUAUGACAAGGUAUCACAUUAUUAUUAUUAUUAUUAUUAUUAUUAUUAUUAUUAUUAUUAUUAUUAUUAUUAUUAUUAUUAUUAUUUCGUUAAUUAUCAACUAUACGUCAAGAUAUUGUAUUUCUUGAUACUAUUCGAUCUUUUUUUAUACUCUGUAUUUUUACCACAUGAACCAUUAGACCAAAAAUCCUAUAAAAAUACAUGGUAUUUUACAAGAAAUACACACACACACCCACACACUCAUUUACUCAUUCUUUCUUACUCAAAAGAUCCAACUCUUUCAUUGAUUAAAGUGUGUGUCAGAGAGUCUUUUGCAGGUAUAUCUUUCUCUUGUGAUCCAUUUCUCAAAAGUCUACAUUAAAAUUUCUUAGUUUCACUCAGAUUUUAUUACGUACCCAAAGAUCUAUACUUUGAUUCCUGAUAAGAACAUCAUUACUAAAAUAAAAAUAAAUUAUUUAAUCAUUAGCAUCAUGCUUGAAAAUAGAUAAAGAAAUUGAAUUUGUGUUGUUUUAAUAUUUACAUGUAACUCUCCUUUUAUCACUUUUAAAAAAUAAUAUUUUUUUCUUUAUAAAUAUACAUAUGAUAAUCAAGUCAUAAUUAAAAUUAUGAAAAAACAAAUAAUAGUUAACUUAUCUUCAUAAAAAAAUAUUAUAAAAAAACUUAUGAGAUAGAAAAAUAUGAAGAUAAUAUUUUAGUAUCAAGUGGUGGAAUCAAAAUGUUAAAGUUGACAAUCAUGCUUCUCUAAAAGUGAGUAAUUAUAAAAAUAUUUAUAUUCCAAAUCUUUCUUCAAAAAACUAUUUUCUACAAAAAAACUAUGUUUGAAAUUUUGUACUUCUAUAUAUUUAAGUUGGUAUUUUUAUUUUUAUCAUGUACAAAGAAUAAAAAUAAGAAAUGAAAACAAAUAUCACGUAAAAUAAUAUAAUAUUAAAAUCAAACCAUUCGCUCACAAAACACACACAAAAAUAUAAUAAAUGUCAACAUUAAGAAAUCAAUAUUAAAUAAUAAGAAAAAAUAUGUAUAAUAGGUUAGGGACACUUCAUUAAUUAAUGAUAUUUGCUAAAUAAAAAUUUAUGAGGCUAGAGAUAUUUUGCCAAUCAAAUAAAAUUAUAAAAUAACGAAAUAAAUAAAUAAACAAAUAAAAUGAUGUUAGUGACUUCUUAAUGAACAAAUUUAACUAUAAGAUUACUAAAUAAAAGAAUAAGAUGAAGUUAUAGACUUCUUAACGAGAAAAUAUAAUUAUAAGAUUGUCAAAUGAAUGAAGUUAAGAACAAGAUAGUUGAAAGAUUAAGAUAUAAACAAACAAAAUAAGGUUAGAGAAAUCUCACUAAGCAAAGAUAACCAUAAAGUGAAUGACAAAGCAAAUAUAAUGAGGUUAGAGAUACCUCACUCAUAAGCAAAAAUUGACUUUACAAUACUAAAAUUUAUUGUUAAAAUAAGUAUUUGACUGAAUUUUGUAAAUCUCUCUACAAAUAUUUUCUUUAUAUAUUUCUACAAACAUAUAUAAAUGUAUGUAUGUCGUUUUCUGAUAAUAAUAUAAAAGUAUAUAUAAUUAAAAAUAAUUAUAAUAAUUAUUAAAAUACAAGUGCGAUUAUUAAAUUUAUAUUAAAAUGGAUAAUGAUAUUUAGACAACAUUUUUUUGACAAAAUUUGAACAUUGAUUACGUGCUAAUCUGUGAUUGAUCGUAAAUUACUCCAUGAUAGUGUUUAUGAUUAUUAUUAUUGAUUAUGGAAUAAUUUACGAUCAAUCACAGAUUGACACGUAAUCAAUGUUCAAAUGUUGUCAAAAAAAAUGUUGUCUAAAUAUCAUUAUCCUAUUAAAAUUAAAAGGAAAACACAUAAAAAUAGUUACAUUUUAUUAUUUUUAUAAUAUUAUUAUUAUAUAACAAGAGGAAUUAUAAUUUUCCUAUAAAGAUUUCUUAGUUUUUUUUAUAAAUAAUUGUAUUUAUAAGGAUUAAAAUGGUAACAAAAUGUGCAAAGAAAAAAAGGGAUAAAACACUUAUUUACAUAUAUAGUUAUAGAUUAAAUAAUUAACAAUGUAAUACUAUAAAAUUUCAAAAUAAAUAAUUCGAAAUCUGAUAGCUAAUAUCUAUCCUGUAUUAGGAUUUGAGUUUCUUACGUUUUGGUGAUAGAUUCCAAUCAAUAAAAAUGUUAUUUUUAACUCAAUACAAGUAAUGAAGACAAAUGAUAUUUCUUUGGCAAGAGUUCUGUCUGUAUGAAGAGAAAGGUAAGUGAAAAGCGAACAAACAUCUAAAAACUAAAAGCAGUAAAAAAAAAUCCUUCACAAGAUUUCCUACCAAAAAAUGGCUUUACAUGUACCAUAAAUUUUCAUAAUUGGAACCAAUAUAUGCAUAAAUAUUGUGACUGGAAGAGGCCACCCUAUCCUACACAUUUAUUAGAACCAAAUCCAGUCACAUUAACAACGAUGGCUUCUAUUCACUACAUAAAAUGAAGAAUAGCCAUGUAAACAAGUACUAUGAGACGAAAAAAAAAAAAGACUUGCUAACAAGAUCUUCCAUCAUAAAGAGAGGGAAAAUUCAAACAAUACAAAUAAUUGAGGAAUGGGUACUACUCUUAGGGAUAAGAAAACAUGAAAUUGGAAAACAUACCCUACACGAAUUCCUUAUUGCGGAAUUGCAAAUAUCAGUAUGCCUGCGCAGAAAAAUAAAAAUUUAAAUUUGUUUUAAUGAUACAAACAGAAUAUACUCGAUCAUGCACUGGAGAUAGCGAAAAGAUAGAUAACAAAAUUCACAGUGACAGUAAUAAAUAACUGCAGUCUGCAGAUGUGUAGAAGCAAAAGCUCACAAGAGGCUCUUUUGUUUAAGUGGCCAUUUGAUAGAUUAUAAAGGGCUAAACCGGUGCAACUGACAAUGCCUAGAUAUGUAAUCUUCUACCAUUUGGCCGUCUCGUCUGAGAAAAAAAACGAGAAGAACAACUGUUCCAGUUCUGCAUGAUGAAGACAUAAUUUAUAUAACAAAAUACUCCCACCAAUCCUAAUGUACAAAUUGCAAACCACUACUGUAAAUAAAUAUUCAAACAUUUAACACCUUAGCAGAAACCCAACCCCAAAAAGAAGAAAAAAAAUGAAGAAAGCAACUACAUAAGCUAUGACAACCCAAAAGAGAAAAAUAUGAAACACAUCCCAUUCCAAACACAUAUCCCUUCAAAUGCUAAGAAGAUCGGGUGGUGAAGACUGAGGAGGGCGUUGAUUAUCAUUAGGUUCCUUAGAUGCCGUGGUUGGAGACUCUAAAUUGUUUGAUGAUGAUAGAGAGGACUCCGUUAAGUCCCCCUGUUUAGAGCUUGGUGGCUUUGGAAGCUCUGUGAGAAUUUGAACAACUUCUCUCAUAGUAGGUCGCUCCACUGCCUGUUCUUCAACACAUAGCAUGGCUACAUAGAAAACAUGCAUCACCUCAUGGAGGGGAACUGAUGGAAGUCUAGGAUCAAGAACUUUUAGAACUCCUUCCUUGUUUGAAUCCGUCAUUUUCCUCACCCAUUGCACAAUGUCCACACCAUCACCAAACUCCCCAACUGGUUUCCUGCCUGUUACAAGCUCCAAAAGAACAACUCCAAAGCUGUACACAUCGCUUUUCUCAUCAACUUUUAACGUGUAGGCAUACUCUGCAAUCAAAAUCACAAACUUAAAUCGAUGACCAUGAACAAAAAAAGCAGCCACGUUAAUUGAAAACAAUUAACAUAAAGUGAAUACUAAGGCCAUGCGAAUUUGUUAUCCAUUUACUUUGAUGUACAUGUUGCCAGUUAAUCACCAUCUGUUUUCAAUUGUGAACAUCUCUAAUCUAUGACUGCAGGACUUCCUAAUUAUAGGGUGGGGGCUACGAUGAAGACUCAAAUGACACACUCGGCUAAUGUUUGCUUUAAACAGUAACAUCAUUUUGAAACAACAUAAAUUAGAUGACAGAUGAAGCGGCCGUUGUUAGUGUGCGACGAAAACGAAAACGAGUCAAGGAAGGCAACAUAUAGCGUUUACUAAUUAAUUAGGCACAUAAAACGUCUAAACCAAACAACAGUGUUGAAACAGUUCGGUUCUACCCCUAAGCCAAUGAUGUUGAGGGACACGAGACAAGCNNNN
rnacentral:lncRNA from 1 species